rnacentral:lncRNA from 1 species
UAUCCACAUGUAUUAGGUUGACGAUGAAAAAAGGAAACAAGCAGAUUUUAGGGAAAGGCAAGGUAAGAGGAGCAGGUUCUCUGAGUAGAGUGGCGCUCAAUAGUAGGGUAGUUUGGAUGAAGGUAAGUGGCCUAAGACAAAUAGGGAGUUCUAGUUCCUUAUCUACUUCUAGCACUCCUUACCCAAUGCAGUUGGAUGACAAGUGUCGACAAGGUAGUGAUAAUUUUUUAGCAUAAGGAGCCCAAUCUCAGGUGAGCGAGUCAUAGUUGACUUCUUUAUGUCCUCUUUGCUGGUUUUGUGGUCGUCUUUAUCAGGGAUUUGCGAUGAAGAAAAGGAUAGGUGUUUUAAAUUUAACUAACCAAUCCAUAUUUCCAGGAAUCAUCUAGUUAGUAAGGGUGCUUUGGGAGAGGUCAAAGCUCCGAUUGCUUCAUCUCUGCUCUUAUACCUAGUGGUGCAGCUUAUGCAUCUGCUUCUAUUUCUAGUACCGAUAGAGCCUAGAAUAGGUUAUAUGUUCUUGCUAAUCAAUAGAAAUCUAAGGCAUCUCCUGAUAUCAUGACUAGUAUGUUACAACUCUUUUUCAUUAUGUGUGUUGCUUCCUUGAUCUGGGAUCCACUCUCUUUUAUGUGACCCCAUAUGUGGCUGUAUGUUUUAUUUUUGAUUCUGAGGUUUUUUCAAAUCUUUUUUAAUUUUCUACCUCAGUAGGUGGCUCAGUUAUUGCUAAAAAAGUCUAUAGGGGACAUGUGUUAUCUAUUGGUAGCAUGAAGACCUUGGUAGAUCUAUUUGAGCUAGAUAUGAUGGAUUUUUAUGUUAUUCUGGGGAUAGAUUGGUUAGACUUUUGUUAUGCAUCCUUAGGUUAUCUCACUUAUAAGGUUAUCUUUAGAUUUUCUAGUGAACUAUUUAUUCAGUAGGAGGGUGGUUCCUUGGCUCCUAGGAGAAGGUUUAUUUCUUAUCUUAGAGCUCAGGGAUUAAUCUCUAAAGGGUGUCUUUAUUACUUGGUCUGGGUUAAAGAUUCUAAAUGAGAAUGUUCUUCUCUUUACUCGGUUCCAGUGGUAAGUGAGUUUCCUAAGGUCUUUCCAGAUGAUCUUCAUAGUGUUUCUUUGAAUAGGGAGAUUGAGUUUUUUAUUGAUUUGGUUCUGGACACUCGUCAAAUAACUAUUCCUCUUUAUACUCUUUGGGUGAGUUGAGAGAAAUCAAGAUGCAACUUAAGGACCUUUCAGAUAAGGGUUAUAUGAAUCCUAGUGUAUUCUUGUGGGGUGCACGGAUGUUUUUCAUGUGCAAGAAGGAUGGUUACCUUUGGAUUUGCAUUGACUAUCGGCAGUUGAAUAAGGUAAUGAUCAAGAAAAAGUAUCCUUUUGAAAGGAUAAAUGAUUUGUUUGAUCAAUUACAAGGUGCUAAGUUCUUUUCUAAGAAAGAUAUUCGGUUUGGGUGUUAUCAACUUAAAAUUAAGGAGGUAGAUAUACCUAAGAUGGCUUUUUGUACUUUGUAUGGGCACUUUGAGUUCUUGGUUAUCACAUUUGAUUUACCUAAUACCCCGGUGGCAUUUAUUGAUUUGAUGAAUAGGGUUUUCAGGUAGUUCUUGGAUCUUUUUGUCAUUGUGUUUAUUGAUGACAACUUGGUUUAUUAUAAAAGUUAGGUGGAUUAUGCAAAUCACCUCUGUGUGGUAUUGCAGACCUUGAAAGAGCAGCAGUUGGAUGCUAAAUUCUCUAAGUGUGUGUUUUGGUUGAACAUUGUGACUUUUCUUGGUCAUAUUAUUUCUAAUGAGGGAAUCAUGGUGGAUCCUCAAAAGGUUGUUGUGGUUAAAAGGUGGCCUAGACCUACUACUUCAACCAACAUUCAGAGCUUCUUAGGUUUGGCUAGGUGUUUUUGUAGGUUUUUGGAGGGGUUUUCUUUGAUAGUUGCUUCAUUGACUAAGUUAACUUAGAAAAAGGUAAAUUUUUCUUGGUCAAAAGUGUGUGAAGGAAGUUUUGAGAAGCUUAAGGAUAAGGUAACAUCCGCAUCAGUUUUGACUUUUCUAGAAGGAGCAGAGAGGUUUGUGGUUUAUUAUGAUGCAUCCCUGGUGGGACUUAGCUAUGUUUUGAUGCAGCAUAGGAAGGUGAUUUCCUAUGCUUCCAGACAAUUGAAGGUACAUGAGAGGUAUUAUCCUACUCAUGAUUUGGAGCUGUUAACGAUGGUCUUUUACAUUAAAAAUAUGAUAGAUUAAUUAUAUAGAGUGUGUGUAGACAUUUUUUCUAAUCAUAGGAGUGUACAGUAUGUGUUCACUCAAUGAGAGAUAGAUCUCAGGUAAACGAGAUGGUUGGAGCUUCUUAAGGACUAUGAUAUAAGUCUUCACUAUCACCCUGGUAAAGCUAACGUAGUUAUUAAUGCUCUUAACAGGUUGACCAUGAGGAGUUUGGCUGAUAUGGGCAUGAUCAUGAAAAUGGAUGUUUGUAAGUAUGUAUUGAAUCUAACCAAAGGAGUGUGGAAGUUGAAGUGUGAAUAGGGCUUUGAAACACUCCAAAGUUGCCCCUAUCAUACACUCUAAGGGCAUCUUUUGUUUCUCCUUCAUUAAGGGCAUUUGAGAAUUUUCAUCUUUGUUUGGUAAUAAGACUAUAAGUAGGCUUAUGUUAGGUAUUUUACUUUUACUUUUUGAAUGAUAUUGAAAUAAACAUGUCUAGAGAGAGAAUGUAGUAACCGAAACUAGGGAAAAAAUAAGUGUGGAUAUACUUGUGUUGCAAAAUUGGCUAAAAACAUUGGUGCUUGAGUGGUGUAUUCCCUCUUGUGUCUUCGUAAGAGUGUGGUGUUACUAUUAUAAGUAUUAGGUCUUCUAGGAUUUGAGACAUCCUUUGGUUCCUAUACCUUGUAUUAGUGUAUGUCUCACUAUCUAUCCUUACUUCCUUAUAACCAUUUGUUGUUGUUUUAGUAAAAUUGUUGGUUGUUGUUUCUUUGUGGUAUUAUUAUCUUGCAUUGUUGUUGUUGCCUUGGUGUUGUUCUUGAGUUUUGUGGGCUGUUUUGUAUCAUUUGGUAUCAGAGCAAGGCAUAUUUUGUUUCCACAAGAUCAAUCUUAGGCAUGCUUGCUUGAAAAUAAUCAAAAAAAGUGGUUGUUUUUGUUUGAGUCUUGGCCGAAUAUUGGAGUCUAGAUCUAGGAGUAUUUCAUGUGUUUUGGUUGUUUUUAGUGUUAGUUUCUUAUUCUAUAACACUAAUAGAGUCAAGAUCCAAGUUAAACUCCCACUUGUGUUGCUGUUGUGCGGAUUCAAAGUUUGGCCGAAGUUUUGUUGUUGUUGUUUUUGUGGAUUUAAAGCAUGAACAUUGUUGGUGUGUUGUUGUUGUCAAUCCGAAGCUUGAAGGUGUGUUGCUGGUAUUUUUGUUGUGGAUUUGUGUUUUAAAAGAGUGUUAAUGCUAUUUGGAGGUUAAACUUGAACCUUGGUCUUCAAACGUUUAUUAAAUAUUCUUGGUGUUUUUGACCAAUCUUCAUGUCUUGUGAAAAGAAGAAUCUUCAAUAGUAGUUGUUUGAUCUUACGACCAUGUGGAGUAGUGUAGUCUUUCUUGUUUGUCUUGAAACAAGUCCCAAAAUAAUACCAAAGAAGUAAGGUGACAAAAAACUUUCCAAAAGACUUGUUACCAAAAAGGAGUAAGGGGGAUUUUUUCAAGACUAACCAAAAGAGGAAAGAGCCAACCACCGUUCAAAAAGGUGUUUUUCCCAAAAGGUGAAAAGAAAGUCAACCCUAUUUUUUAAUGUGAGAAUGGCUCCAAACUUGUUGUCUUCCUCCCCAAAACCGGUUUUACUCUUCGACAUGUUGAAAGUUGAACAAAAUUCAAAGUUGGAAAAAUAAUAAUUUUCAAAAUCCACAACCAAUUCAAGGCUGCCAUAUCACUAUUUAUGAACAACACAACAAUUGUAGGUUCAAAAAUUUGGUUUCUUAGUUUUUAUUCUUGUAUCCUUAGUCUCCCUUGUGGACUCAUUAGUUACGUUUCUUCAUGUCUACAUUCCUUUUGUGUCUUUUAUCUUUUUUAAUUCGUGUUUACAACUCAACAACUCACGGAGUACAAGUCAACUUACAACACUUAUGAGACAAAGUGUGAGGUAUCCAAAGAUAGGAGAGUGUGAGGAUCUUACUCUUGUAACUAACUUGUUUGUUUUUUUGAAGGUAAUUUCUUAGGUACAAUGGAAACCGAGUGAACAACCUCUCAAACCGUGUAUAACAAUGUUCUUAGUACUAUCUUGGCCAUGGUUGAGGCUCUCAACUGAAGCACGGUAAAGGUACAAACAGACGUGUCAUCAUUAGGUGAUAGGUUGGAUCAUGUAGGGAAUCGAAGGAACUCUCAUGCUUUAACUCCUCGACACUAUGUUUACUUAUAUAGACAUGACCAAAACACUUCCACCACCAUUACCCUCCAAACAUUACAUCAAAUGUUCAAUCCUCCAAGACCACCACAAAAUGCCAUAAGCCAAGCUACGAAUUACCCUCAAAAUUAAAACCUAAAUAGUCCACUUCCCCGACAUUUCAAUCAAGUCCAAUAAUAAGGACUUGCAAGCCAAAUGGCUACACUAAAAUCAAACCCUCCCAUCCAAUCUCAGCUUAACCAAAGGCCUCAACCUCCAUAAAAUCAAAUUCAUCCCGUCCAAGCUCUACUUUACCAAAACCAACAAGUCUAUGUAGAGAAUUAUGGUAGAGAUGAACAUGAAGUAUAUAGAUCUUAUGAUGAUGCUUAUGUGACGGAAGAAGAAAUGAGAGGAAGACGCAGGGAUCAAAUAGGAUACUGAGGGCAUGGAAGAAGAGUUAGUCAAUAGGACCAACAAGGAACCCACCACUAAGAUAGAGAUAUGGGUCUCAAUUCCAUCAAAGUGAGCCUUCUUAUUUUUAAAGGUUAGAGUGAUCCUGAAGUUUAUCUUGCAUGGGAAUUAUCUUGUCACAAGAUAUUCCAACUUAAGGAUCUCACCGAAAAAAAGAAGGGUUGCUUUGCUAUAGUUCACUUUGAAAGGUAUGCUAAUACGUGGUGGAAGUAUUUUAAACGUCUUGGACAUGAGUUGAUAGAGGGACUAACCCCUUGUUGGUUUAGAUUGAAGAACCUUAUGAGGCAAAGGUAAUUGCACAAGACUUAAAGUCAUGAAAUCCUUUCCAGGUUGUACAACUUAAGGCAAGGAAGCAAGAGUGUUGUGGUUUACUAUGAUGAGUUCCAACAAUUAAUGUUGAAGCUUGAUUAUUGAAGAGAGCAAGUGAGUCAUGACAUUAUACGCUUCAAGGUUGAAUUGAACAAAGACAUCUCUACACACAUGAUCCUUCACAAGUUUGACACUAUAGACAUCAUCUUUUAAGUGGUAUUAGAGAUUGAAAGAGACCUUAAGAAGAGGUUGGGUUACAAACUCAAGGGACAAUCUCCCUCGUGUUGGUACAAGGACAUGGAUAAUUUAUUCAGUGUUGAGAAACACAAGACCAAGGCUUCCUAAAAGUCCUUCAAGAAAUAAAGGUAAACCAAAUCCCUUCUCUUAUCCUAAGGGGCUUUAAUACUUUAAUUGUCAUGGAUGGGGACACAAGGCUAGUGAGUGUCCAAAAAAAAGAAAUAUGAUCCUUAGGGAGGGAAAGUUGUACUAUCUUAUAGAAGAGGUGGGCAUUUAAUUAGAUGAGAUUGAUGAAAAACCUUGAGAUGGAGAGAAAGAAGAAACCGAGGUGGAAAAUAAAGAAUAUGGAGAAGAUAUUUGGCCGCAUGAUAAUGCCUGUAAAGGGACUUGUUAAAAUAGAUGAGGUCGUGAAGUUGAGGUUAAAUUUCUGUCAAAAUAGAAAGAAUGAUAGGGGCAUGAUCAUGAAGAUAGACGUAUAUGAGUGUUUAUUGAAUCAAACCUAGGGAGUGUGCAAGUUAAAUUAUAAAGAGGGCUUUAGAACACUCCAUAGCCACCCCUAUCGUACACUCUAAGGGCAUCUUUUGUUUCCCCUUGAUUAAGGGCAUUUUUUACUUUUCAUCAUUGUUUUGUAAUAAGACUAUCAGUAGGCUAAUGUUAGGUCUUUUACUUUUAGUUGUUGAGUGAUAUUUAAAGAAACAUCUCUUGAGAAAGAGUGUAGUAAUCGAAACUAAGGUAAGAACAAGUGUGGAUUCACUUGUGUUGCAAAAUUAGCUAGAAACAUUGGUGCUUGAGUGGUUGAUUCCCUCUUGUGUUCAUAUGAGUGUGGUGUAACUAUUAUAAGUCUUAGGGGUUCUAGGAUUUGAAACAUCUUUUAGUUUCUAUCCGUUGUAUUAGUGUAUAUCUCACUAUCUAUCUUUACUUUCUUGUAACUAUUUGUUGUUGUUUUAGUGAAAUCGUUGAUUGUUAUUUCUUUGUGUUGUUGUUGCUGCCUUGUUAUUGUUGUUGAGUUUUUAGGUUGUUUUGUAUCAAAUUUAUCUCAUGUAGAGAAAGGAAAGGGGUAAUUAGUGAAGGAUAUUCACUAGUUGGUUAAUUAUGGAGUCCAUCUUAUAGACUCUAAAGAUGAUGGUAUAGUGGUACAGGAAGUGGUUUGGUCAUCUCUUGAUGCAAAAAUUAAGGAGAAGCAAAUAUUGGAUCCUGUAUUUAUGAAAAUCAAGGGCAAUGUUGGUGGGAAAAAGAUAAUGGUCUUUGAGAUCAGUGGCGAUAGUAGUUUAUGGUACAAAAGAGAGAUAGUGUGUUCUUGAUGUUGAUGGCUUCCCACAAAGAUUUUUGGAUGAGGCGCAUGAAUUAUGCUAUGUUCUUCAUCUCGGUUCUACUAAAAUAUAUCAUGAUAUCAAGGAGAUAUAUUGGUGGAAUGGUACGAAGAGUGAUAUGGCUAACUUUGUAUCCAAGUGCAUGAUGUGUCAACAAGUUAAAGUUGAGCACAUAAGGCCCAGUAGGUUGUAUCCAGAAAUUAAUUUGCCUGAAUUAAAAAAGGAGGUAAUCAAUAUGGAUUUUGUUACCAAUCUUCCUCGGUCUCGGAACCAACUUGAUUUGAUUUGGGUCAACGUGGAUAGGAUAACAAAGUUUGCUCACUUCUUUCCAGUGAGGACUACUUUUUUGGUAGAGGAUUAUUUAAAGUUGUAUCUAUAGAAGAUUGUGAAGCUGCAUGGGAUACGUGUUUCAAUAAUAUCUGAUUGUGCUACAUAGUUUUCAUCUCACUUCUAGUGGUCUUUUCAGAAGGGCAAGGUACAAAGGUUACUCUAAACACUGUUUUUCAUCCACAGAUAAAUAGGCAAAUAGAAAGGACUAUUGAGACAUUAGAGGAUAUGCUUCGAGGAUGUAUGGUUGACUAUGGUGGUAGUUGGGUUGAGAAUUUACCUUUGCUAGAGUUUGCUUAUAACAAUAGCAAUCAUUCUUGUAUUCGGAUGGAUUCUUUUUAGGCAUUUUACGGUAGGAGGUGUAGAUCACUUAUUAGGUGGUUUGAGCUUUAUGAGGCGGACAUGUUUGGUCAAUAAGUUGUUUAUUAGGUGAUGGUAAAGUUUAAGGUCGUUUGGGAUAGUCUUAAGCCUACUCAAAGUCACCAAAAGUCCUAUGUGGAUGCAAGGCAUAGAGACUUGGAGUUUACAAUUGGGGAUAAGGUGUUCCUAAAGGUAUAUCCCAUGAAGGAAAUAAUGCGGUUUGGUAAGUAGGGGAAGAUCUAUCCCCAGUUUAUUGGUCCUUAUGAAAUUUCGUGGUGGUUUGGUAAUAUGGCUUAUGAAUUGGAUUUGCCUACUAGUUUGAGCUCCAUGCAUCCGAUAUUUCAUGUAUCUAUGUGGAGGAAGUGCCUUGGUAAUGCUUCUUCGGUGGUUCCUUUAGAGGGCUUGGGUAUCUUGGAUUCUCUGUCUUAUGACGAGGUCCUGGUCGAGAUCUUUGAUGGGUAGGUUCAUUGAUUAUGGACCAAGGAUAUAGACUCGAUUAAGGUUUUAUGGAAGAACCACAAGGUGGAAGAGGCUAGUUGGGAAGUGGAGAAGGACAUGAAGUCCAAGUAUCUGCAUCUAUUUUCUUCUCCUGGGAUUUGUGCAGAAGGUAUGUGUUCUUCAACAUACUUUUGUUUUCAAACUUUGAUAAAGGAAAGAUUAAUAUCUUUGUCUUUAUUUACUAACUUGGUUAAAGGUUUGAUUAAUAUUUGAUACUGGAAAUGACUCUGUUUACAGUUACCGUUCCUUGUCUAUCAUUUGGGGAUGAAUGUUCCUAGUAGGGGAGACUGAAACACCCUAGGUUUCUGACCCUUAGAAAAUUAACUAGAAUUUUGGUCUUUAGACAGGAUACGACUAAGGGAAAUGACUCGUACAUCAGGAUACGAGUGGUAUGGCUUAGUCGUAUGAUGACCAUUGUUGCUUGAUGGGAUGGAUUUGAUUUCAACAAUGAGUACAAUUUGUUUGGUAUGAGUCGUAUGGAUGGAAACGGGUUGUUUGGUCACUUCACUUAAUCAUAGACUUGGUAACUUAAGUUGGACCUAAGUAUGAGUGGCUCACCAAGAGUUGUAAGCCAAGGUACUAGUCGUACCAUGGACUCGUAUGGUGGUCAGUGUUCAGUGCUCUUAGGGUUCUAUUCUACUAGGGGUACGAAUCAUGAGUACUAGUCAUAUACUUGGAUACGACAUUGUUUGGGGUAGUCGUACCUUGGAUAGUGUUAGGUCCAAGUGAGAUAGCCUUGGGUACGAGUUGUGGGUAACACUAGUAUUAGAGGUUAUGACUGGCAUGGAUAGUCAUAUCCCUCUAGCGGGAUUUUGGUAUAGUUUAAGUAAGGGUAAUCUGGAUAUUUCCCAACAGAACCUAAUAAGGCCCCACGACUUUUAAUUCACUAAGGAGGUUUUUUGUCUUAUUAUUCUAUUCAUUAACAAUUAGAAAACAUUCUACAAUUCUCUCUAAAGUUCUUAGGCAAAGGAAUCUAGGGUUUCAUCUUUAGGAUUAAUUUGGGGCUUGUGUUGAUGAUUUAUCUCCAUCAUCUUCUUGGUUUAAGUCAUGUUAUUUUCCCUUAUUGUUAGUUCCAACUAAAGGCAUAGUUUUAUACAAUGUUUUCAUGGUUUUAUUAUUGUCUAACUUUGGGUUUUCAGAUAUAAUUUAGGAGUUUUGGUUAUAAAUUUCUGGUUAUGGUUUUCCCAUAUUUUAAAUAUGAUUUUAUAUGCUUUAAUGGUGGUUUGGGACAAUUGGUUGCAUGGGACUGUUUAUUUUGUAAUUGGCUUUGGUUAUGGAAAUAAUAUGCCCCCAAUGUGUUUGAUAAAAUGCCUAUAAGAAUGUGUUCAAUACAUUAUUGGAGUUUAAUGGAACUUAUGCAUGGUUUAAACUUGGUAAUGGAACCCUAAAUGGUUUGGAAUGGUAAAAAUGGUAUAUUUUUAGGUUUAACAAUCAUUAUUGUGUGGUACAACGAAAUCCCCCAGGUAAUCAUAAUAAUGGAAAACUUGUGGGGUACAUGGGACUCCCCCAAGUUAAUUGGAUAAUGUGGUCUAUGUGUACAUUGGAAUCCCCUGAUUUCGAAAAUGUUUGGCUAGGGAUAAUACUUGCAAGUUUUAGUCGGUAUGACGAUACCACUAUGUAUAGCCUCGAUUGAUAAUAAUUGUUUGGUUGAUUGGAAAUGAUUUUAAUUGGGCUUUAAAGGUGGGAUGCGAUAGCUAACUGUGAAGGUGAGAGUCUAAUAAAUGAACACUAGAAACUCAUAUUUGCCGACAUGAAGAGUUGGUCAUGGUUACCUUAUAUGAUACUACGAGGUACACAAGAAUCCUUUAAGUACACUGUACAUAUGUAUCAUGGAGGGUUAGGGUACUUGGUAAUCCCUUACUCUUAUUGUAUAUCCGGUUUGUGCGGGUACACGCAUCGAGUCCCGUUCAAGGGGUUACGCUAGACUCAUAUAGCCUGUGGGUGGUUAAGGACGGUUAAGCCACACAUACCCAGGUUAAUGGUUUACAAUUCAUGUUAAACCAAGUUCCCUUUCCUUACAUGGUUAUAUAUACAUAUGGUUUUUUUGAAUUUGCUUGGUUUACUUGAUUCCACUAGAUGACAUUAUUUAUCCUAAUACUGAGUUCGUACUAGCGUUCACCCGCUAACCCAUUGUUGGGAGGUUGUAUCCCCAGGCUAUCAGGAACGAGCCAUUCUACUCCUCCUUCUUAGCGAUCAAACUUUGGGAUCAGCUAUUGGAUUGAAGUGGGGAACUUCCAUCUUUCUGAAAGGCUUUAUUUCAUGGAUAAUAUUUCAUACUUUGGUUUAUUUAUGGAUAUUGGUUUUGGCUAUGGUUGGGAGCAUGUCCCAACAGGAUUUUAAUAUUCUUUUUUUAUAGGAUUUUGUGGAACUACUAUGGGUUAAUAUGGGAGGGAUCAGUAUUGGUAUCAUCUUUUGUGAUACAGAUCAAGCUACGAAAGAUAGAAAUCUACCUAGGGAAGCAAAAAAUCGCAAACAAUGCAAGAAAGUAAAAAUAGAUAAAUUGACAUAAGAAACUACAAAGAAGUAAGAACCAAUGAGUGUAUCAAACUCAAAGACCCCUAAAACUCAUAGGAUCGAACACCAACUCCUUAUGUGGUCCCAAGAGCGAAUCAAUACCCUAAAAAAUAAUCGUUUCUAAGAAAACAUUCAACCCUAGUUUCACCAACACUCUUUUCAAGAGCAAUGUUCAUUCAAUAUAAAAGAUAAUCUAGGGAAAUAAACCUAAGAAGUAGCUAUUUAUAGUCUACUACAUAAUGGGCCCAAAUGUGACCCAUGGCCGAAAUUACUAAAAUUCCCUUAAUGAAAAUUAUCUCUCAAUCACCCUUUGGUUCAUACUUUAACAUGUGACACCCCUCGGAGGAACUCAAAAUAUCUUUACACACGUCCAUCUUCAUGAAUAAUCACAUAGGACCUCUCUUUUCCAAACAUCUUCCCGAUGGAAGGAAUUUCAUCAAUGGAAUGAUACAAUUAGGGAGAAUAGAGAACCUAUUAUUCAAGAAAUCAUUCCAAGAGAAGUAGUUCUCCCAAAAACUUUGUAUCCCUCUACUAAUGAUGUUAACAAUGCUCUAAAGAGUCCCACAAGAUAAUUUAAGUUGUCCAACCCUAUGAAGGUGACAAGAAGCCUUUAACAUCCUUGGACUCUUCUACCAAUAAGAAUCUAACUUGACACCCAGAAGUUGUUGUCCAGACAACUUAAGCUCAAGUGUGUCAAAUAUGGAUACAAGUACAUAAGCAUUACCCCAAUGUGGCAAUGACACAUUUUACCUAGGGACCUCAAUCAAUAAACCACCUUAAAGAUAAGGAUCCCCAUCACAACCAAGUUAUAAAAAAAGGUAUAAUAUGAAUGGAAUUCAUCUAAAGUGUUUUCAAGAGGUAACUCUGUCCUUGACCUAUAAGUAGUAAUACCUUGGUCAAGAAUGGAAACAUCCAAGGGGGAACUCUCUUGGUUUUUAUUACUCCCCUUCUUUAGUGCACACUUAACUUUUUUGGAAAUGCCUCCCAUGCACAACUUGGGUCUAUCAAGUGGGUAAUAAAUCCCUAAUAAAGACUUUUCAUCAUAGGGAAGGAUACCAACAUCCAUAAUCAAACCUUCCUUGUCUUAUUAACCAAGCACCAAGUUGAAUGUGUAUAAAUUUCUACAUCCCAAUAGGGCACUGGGGUCAAAUAGGAGAAGUAGCCAAGAACAUGGGUCACGACUAUUCUUUUUUUCCCAUAUGGUGCCAUACCCAAAAUUAGGCAUACCCUCUAUAUGACCAUUAGUAAUAUUAUGUGCAAAAGGAGGGUCGAGAAAGGUGUCACAUAAGUCAACUUCAACUAUGGUGUCCUCAUGCAUGUACUCACUAAAAGUUUCAAAAUCAUUUCCAUGAGUAUGCUCAAUAUAGGAAACACACAAGGAAGAAGUAGAUGGGAUUUCUAAACAAAGACCACCAUCUCUUUCAAAGGAGUAAUCCUUAAGUAAACACAAACCGCCAUUAACAUCAAAGGGAUCCCAACUCAAGUGUCAUAUAGGUCAAACAAUUAUUUUCCAUAUUUAUCAAUCAAGGGUGGGGUGGCAUACAAAAGAUCAUAAUCAAAAUCAUUUUCAAAAGAACAAUCACUAAUUGGGUUUCUUAAACAUUCAAGCAAGUAAAAGUCAUUGUAACCCAAAGGAUCAUUCUUUUCUAUAAGUAGUAGAUCACUAUCAAGAAUUGGAUGGAUUGCAUAAUCUUCACUUAAUCCUACAUCCUUAAUGGAUUUCAGGAAAUAGGAUAACAUAUGAAUCUUAAGCAUACCACCUUUACUUUUAAUCACAGCAUCUUGCAUAUAAUUAGGUGGCAUGCAAGGAAUGAUCUCACUAUUUUCACACAAGACAUCUUGCUUUGAGAGAGGUUCACUUUUCAAAUGUACGGAGUUUAAUCAUACAAGUUCACUCUCACAAAGACAUAUGUCAUGCUUCACAACAUUUUUAUCCAUAUGAUAUCAUUGAGCAAAACUAUCAUUAAGGCCUUCAUCACAUAAUAUGCUCAUAGAAUCAUCCCCUUUCUCAUGAUCAACUCUAUCAACAUCAUCACUAACGAUAGAUUCAUCAAGCACACCAUACACAUGCUCAAUUAUUUUACUCCAUUCAUGAGUAAUUUGAUUAUUAUUCAUACCUUCACUAGUUGUUGGCAACUCACAUGCCAACAUAGACUCACCUUGGUUCUCAUAAGUGUCAACUAGUGUGUGACUACUCUCAUCAAUCAACAAUGGGACCUCAUUAAAGUUAAAAUUUUUAGAACUAGGUGGACACACAUCAUUCUUAAGAGAAGAAUCAAUUUAGACAUCUAUAGGAUCAUAUAGUGCUUGCAUACUUCCAACUCUUGUCCAGAAUGGAUUUUAUUUGAGUGACUUAAAUAAAUAUUGCACCGACUUGAGUCAAAAAGCCAAAAUGAAUCAAAAACAAAAAAAGAACACAAAAGAAAAUGGAUUCAACAACUAAUUGACAACUAAGCAGGUGAUUUCUAGUUGUCAAUUAGAAAUAGAAUCAAGAAAGAAACCAAAGAAUCAACGAAAAGAAACUUAUAAUCUAAAUUUGAACCUAAUGUAAUUUGGACGACUAAAGAUAUGGCUAUCCCAAAUUUGACAUUGAAUGUAGUUGAAAUUUUGGGAGAUUUCUUGUUUCCAAUUUGAAUUUCGAUCAAUCUUCACAUUAGAGGUGGGGGAAUCAUAUUUGGGAGGGAAAAUACCAAGAAUUGGAUCCUUUCAUUCCAACCUUCAAACUCAAGAGAGUUUGAAUUUGCUUGUGCCCCCCCCUUUCUUUGUACUUUCCUUUAUCUUCUUCUUUGUGAAUAUUCCCUUUUUGGUGCUUUUUUUUUCUUUCUUUAUUUAAAAGACUUUUAUAUCCUUAGAAUAUUCUUUGAAACAGACAAAUUCCAGACCUUCUCUCACCUCUUUUUUGGAUCAAGCAACACCUUUUGAAUGUUCUUCUUCAAUAAUAUAUGAAGAUGAUGAAGAACACCAAGAACAUUCAAACUUGAACCCUAAGCAAAUGAACUCGAAAUUUGAUGAUUUUUGAUUCCACAAUCUCAUGUUUCAUUUAAAAUCUAACCCAACAUGUUUUCAAGUCCAAAAUAUCAAAUAUAACCUUCCAAAUUUGAGAUCCCACCUUCAAAUUUCAUCAACUCAAGCUCAACAAUGGUGGAUGACUCAAAACAACCCAAAAUAAGCUCAAAUUCAAUAUCUAGACUCUAUUAGUGUUAGGGAACAAGGAUAUAACACUAGAAACACACAAAAAAUCACUCAAAGUUUUGGCCAUGGGUAAAAAUGGGAACAACACUAUUUUUUUGAAUUUUAAUCUUUGACACUUUUUUUUUGUGGAUUUUCAAGAUAACAAACAUAAGAUUGACUUCGUAGGAAUGAAAUCAAGAUCGGCUGUAAUACCAAAUGAUAAGGAUAAAGCUACGAAAGGUAGAAAUGUACCUAAGAAAGUAAAAAAACACAAACAAUGCAAGAAAGUAAAGAUAGAUAAAUUGACAUAAGAAACUACAAAGAAGUAAGAACCAAUGAGUGUAUAAAACUCAAAGACCCCUAAAACUCAGGGAAUUUACCACCAAUUUCUUAUAUGGACACAAGAGGGAAUCAAAACCCUCAAAAACAACCGUUUUAAGCAAACACUUAACCCUAUUUUCACCAAUACUCUUUUCAAGAGAAAUGAUCAUUCAAUAUCAAAGAUAAGCUAGGGAACUAAACCUAACAAGUAUCUAUUGAUAGUCUACUACAUCAUUGGCCCAAAAGUGAUCCAUGGCCAAAAUUACUAAAAUGCCCUUAAUGAAAAUUAUCACUUAAUCACCCGUGGGUUCAUAUUUAAAAACAUGAAACCCCUUGGAGGAACUCAAAACCUAUUCACACACGUCCAUCUUCAUGUAUAAGGCUUGAUCGAUUUGCAAUUCUCGAGCUUAGCUCCUUGUAAAUGGUCUUGAGCUUCUCUUACCCAUAUCAACUCGUGGGUAGACAUUAAUGCAAGCCCCCAAACAACCUUUCACACAUGGGAUUGCUCUAUUGUAAUCUCAAAUGAUGUCAUCAAAAGAUAUGAUAGCCAUUUGGCUCGUAUCACAAGAUAUUGGCAUUGGUAUUGGGGAUGAUACCGUAGGACUAAAUUUUUCACUAUUCCAUCCUCUUUUAUUUUGGGAUUAUAUAUAAUUUUUAUGGAAAUUAUAUGGUUAUAGUAUGGAUUAGGGUUUGGUUAUUAUUGGUUAUCGGUUGGGUAUCAGAUGGUUGGACUUAUAUGGGUCGUCACGGAUAUAGACCUAUCCCAGAGUCUUGGAUUAUGCAAUAAUGAUAUCUUGUUAUACAUUUAGAAUUCAACCGACUCAGGAUAUGUGUAGGCUGGUUAGGUUGGGUAAAGGGGGCGAUCCCCAAUCCUGGUUGGACUUGGGAUGCACAUUAUGACAAGGCCCUAAUUCGGAUCGUGUCACAAUGCUCAUAUAGUGGAGUUUAGAUAACCCAAAUUUAGCCUCCAAACUAUGAGCACCACCCACAAUCCUUGGUGUAUCCCACAAUUAUAGGAUGGUCCAUAUGACUUAACUAUGUAGACUUUAAGUUAAAUUUUAAGGGGGGAUUUUGCAUCUUUUCCUACUCCUUCAACAUCAAACUAUGUCAUUUAAACUACUCUAAAUUUGAGUAUUAACAUUAAUAUCACCCUAAUCCCUCAUUAUUCAGAAAGAAAGAGAUAAUUUCUCCUUUUUAGGAAAACUAGGGUGCAUCUUCUUCAAGCUUCCAAUUUCAAAGACUAGAGUUUUCAUCUAUGGGUACAUGUGAUUUUACCAAUGGGCCUAUUGAGACCCAAAUUUAACUUAAUUUCUUAGUUUAAUUCCUUCUUUAGAGCUUAGGGUUAAUGAAUAUUAUGAAUUCCUUGAUAUUCUAGUUCGUUGAUCUCAUUAUUUUAUAAACCAAUGUUUUAACAUGAAUUUCAGUACCAUUAUAUGUUGAAAAUUAAUAACCCUUAUUAUAUUGUGAAAUCAACUAUUAUUGGACUUGAGUUAUCAAAUUAUGUAAUUUACUUAGUUUGUGGAAUUAUCAUAGCAAUUGCAUUCUUUAGAGAUGGCGGGCUAUGAAUACCUCAUGAUUUAGGAUUUGAUACAUAUACUUAUGAGUAUUAUAUUCUUUAAUUUACAUGUUUGGAGUGCUCUCAUAUAAUGCAUUUAUUUUUAGUCAUCAAAAUAAUACUAUUAUUGAGCAUUUUAUUUAUCAGUAUUAGUAAGUUGGAAGUAGUAUUUAUCACGGAGUGGAUGCAACAAUUAAGACUCACCCAUCAGUUAGGGUGAAACCUUCAGUAGAAGUACUUAUGUCUUAAAACUAUGGUUCCACAAUAUAUUCUAAAGUGUAUUUUUCAAACCAGGCUUGAUACCUAUGUCCUUUUGGACAUUAGUUUAGUAGAUACACGCCAAUCAGUGUUCAUAAACUUUACAAGGUACAAAACAACUUUCCAGUUGGUUUUAGGUUGGACCUUUGUUGGUACAGAUUGGGGAAUGUCGAUUAAUAGUAGCUGCCACAGUACAUAACCUAUAAUUCACAAUGCAUGGUUCAUCUUAGAUUCUUGCAUGACCUCGUGUUCUAUUGUUUAGCUUGUCAUACAGUACAUGUUUAUCAAUUGUCCUUGCAUUAGUUCCCCAUAUCACAUGCAUCAUGAUUAGAUUAUAUUAGUAGUUUCCUAAAUAACAUACUCAGUACAUUAAAAGUACUGAUUCUGUAUGCUUUUUUGUGUUAUAGUGUCUCAUAAUAUAGGUUCUGACAUUCAGUAUAUAGAUCCUGUAUAGUACAAUAUCUUACAAAAUCAAGAGCAAUACUUUGGUGGGAUCUUUAUUUGAGGGAUAGUAUAAGUAUUUCAAUCUAUUUCAUUUUUGUUUCAGAUAGCAAAAGAUAGUUGGGGGUUGUCCGAAUAAUUGAUCUUAUUAGAGGAUUUCAGAUAGUUAGAUGUUUAGAUGUUGUGGUUUUAAAAUCAAUAUACAUGAAUGUGUGUGUGUGUAUAUAUAUAUAUUAUCAGUUGGCUUAUUAUUUAAUCAUUCAGUUUAGCUUCUACAUAAUGUUUUCAUAACGGUUUUGUUAUUAUUCAUGGUGUUAUGUUAGGUCAUGGAUAAGACUGGGUUCACUUAUGAUUCUACGCAUGAUGUUGUGAAUAGGGGCUAGUCUCGGGUUAUGAAAAUGAAGCUGCGGGAAUUAUUGCUGAUUCUUCCCUACUGGUGAGUAGAUCUUAGACCAUAGAGCACCUCUCGUAUAUCUUUGUAGUCAGGAUAUUUUAUGAACUCAUCCAAUCUGCAAACUAGAUGGCCUAGAACUCUAAGUGCAUGACACAAUAUGGAUUCUCGUCACCUUCAUAUUAACAACCCUAACAGCAUAAACUAUCAUAAGCCGUCAGAGUAGGGUAGGAAAAAUUAUUGGCAUACAACUCUAAGGAAAUAUCUAGAUUUGCAGGUCCAAGUUUUUAAAACACUUCAUACCAUACCUUCACUUUAAUAUCCUAAUUUAUCGGUGGGAAACUCCUUUGGAAAAUGAGUUCAUCAAUGUCCUUUUCAAGAGUAUAAUUGAAAAGUUCAAACUCUUUUUAUAUUAUGUUUCCCUCACCAUUUUACAUAAUAAAAACCAUGAGUGGUCAUUAAUUGAGGCUUUGGGAUGGGGAUCAUUGGAUUCUUCCUACCCUUUUUUGCAGUUCUUUUUUAGUGGGAGUGGAGACUAUCUCCUUUCACUCAGAGGUUGGGAAGAAGAUGAGGUCAUAAUCUUUCCCUUUUCUUGACCCAUUAUACCUAUAAUAUAAGAAAAAUUAACAACCUUAGUACUCAUUUUGUAAGAAAGGAAUAUGGGUCUAAAGGACUCCAUUGCCUUAUUUAAUGUAUAAAACAAAGAAAACUACACAUAAACUAGCCAUGAAAAGAAAACAAAACAAUAAAAAGGACUUUAAUUUCUUAUCAUUUCUUGAAAGUAACUGGACGGCUAAGGGUUUGAUAAUUUACAAUUAGCAUUUCGCAACUCAAGAACUCCCAAAAACAUUUCACAAUUGAGCCAAGGUAUUUAUCAAUCACCAUGCGAGCAUAGAACUUAAUUCAUUUUUCAAAGAAAAUUGGAAGAUAUGAAACUCCCCUUUCAUACGUAAUUAUAGUUCCAUUCUUAAACAUCACAAAUAUUUAAAAUCAACUAAUUCCUACCCUUUACAUGCCUAAAACCUUUACCACACAUUAAAAAAUCCAGGACACCUGACAUUGGGGGAGAGGGUGAUAAAAAUAAUGAACUCUUCUCAUUAUUAUAGGAGAAAGACGGUGAGAAAUUACUUACUUUUGUCCUUGAUGUUUGAAAAGUAAAGAAACUUGCAGAAUUCUUGAAUGUUUUUUGAAUAGUUUUGGGGAGGUUUUUGUUUUUUGUAAUAGUGACGUUGUGAAAACUAGGAAACAAAAAGGGUUCGUCUAGUUGUUUUAAACCAAGAACCCCUUUUUAAGAAAAUUUAAACAUACCGUGUGCCACACGUGCAAUGGAGAAAAUUUUCCAAGACUUCUAAAAUUUAUCUACAUAGUGUAACCCUUCUCUAAGCCAUACUAGAAAAAUCAAGCACGGGCCUGAGCUUUCUAGUUUUCUAAAGUUGUGCAACAAUCUUUGUCAUGCCAUACUCACAAAACUAAUAGUGACAUGAGAUUUGGAAUAUGUCUAAAUCUCGGUUGCCUUUUGCAAUCUGUCAUAUUGCUUUUUUAAAUUUCCCCAUAUCUGAUCUAUUUCAAGUGGUACAAAAAAAUUAAGAGUACACAAAGUUAAGGAGAAAAUUAAAUUGGGUUGACUCCAAACUAGUGCCUUAUUUAUCAUGGCAUAUGCUUUUUGUGUUUUACUAUUUUAUUACUUUUUUCUUUUCUCUUUUUUCUAUUUUUUUACAAAUCAUGGGUUGCCUCUCAAGCAGUGCCUAAUUUUAUGUCAUGGCAUGACACAUGUCCUCUCAAUCAUCCUUGAGAAGAAUAUAAGUUUUUUUUUGCUCAACAAAACCUCCAUAUUAAUAUUUCACCCUCUAACAAUUACAUAAGAACGUCUUAUUUAACUCUAUUGGUUUUAGUUCUAUCGUUCCAUAUGUAGUCGUACGAGCUACCUCAAAUGGUUUUGAUCACUUAGUCUUCCCACCAAAUUGCUUAAGUUUUGAAGUAUACAAUAAAACUUGUUUACCCAUCUUGAAUGUUCAACUCUAAAUGUGCUUAUCAUUCUACCUCUUACUUUUUUAUCUAUACAACUUUGCAUUUUCAUGCGUAUAGAAAUGGAACACAUCCAGCUUAUUUAACUAUAGCGAUAUUUUUUCCCCUGUAUCAUCCAUGUCUAUAUUUAAUUGCUUAAUUUCCUAAAAGGCUCUAUGCUCUAGUUCUAUCAAUAAAUGGCAUGCCUUACUAAAGACCAACCUCUAUGGAAAGGUUCCAAUAGAGGUCUUGUAGGGAGUUUUAAAGGACCACAAAGCAUCGUCCAAUUUCAUAGGCCAAUAUUUUCUAUUUAUACUCAUAGUUCUCUCAAAAAUACUUUUGAUCUCCCAAUUUGACACCUCAACCUGACCAUUCAUUUGGGGUGGAUAUGCAGUAUCCACCUUAUGCUUUAUCAUAUUUGGCCAAAAAUUUAUUGAACAAUAUGUUGGAAAAUACGUACCUUCAUCACUUAUGAUGGUUCAUGGGGUUUGAAAAUAAGUAAGGAUGUUCUUUUAAAAGAAUUAAGAAACUACACAUGUAUUAUUUGUUAGAAGUAUGACCGCUUCCACCCACUUAGACACAUAAUCAAGCGCAACUACGAUGUAACUAUUUUCUUUGAAUGAAGUUAAGGGUCAAAUGAAAUCAAUUCCCUAAAAAUCAAACAACUAAAUCUCCAUAAUCCCAUUCAAAGUCUUCUCAUGUCGUUCAGAUAUGUUCCCUACCCUUUUGACAUUGUCCCAAGCUCUGACAAAUGCUCAAGUAUGGUUUUAAAAAGUGGGUAAAUAAAAACAUGAGUACUCCAUCAUCACUGUGAUGUCAAUUAGAUAGGGAAGAAUCACUUUUACCUCCUGUUGGGAACAAACCUUCUCACUAGUAGGUAGGCCCCAACUUGUACAGAUAUGGUUCAUCCCUCAUUAUGAAUAAGUUAUGAUGGUGGAGGAGCCUUUUUCUUUCUAUAUUUUCACCUGAAGGAUACACAUCGCUUUUCAAAAAUUUUACCAUGUCAUCGUACCAUGGUAGCUCUUGUGCUUUAAUGGUGCACAAUUCAUUUGAAAACAUUUUUGUGAUGUCAAUACCUUUAUCAACAUGUUUUCUAUCCUCUAAUCUUGAAAAAUGGUCUGCAACUUUGUUCUUAACACCCUUUCUAUCCUUAACUUCUAUAUCAAACUCCUAAACUUCUAGUAUCUAUUGAAUGAGUCUUAGUUUUGCAUCAUUCUUUUUGAAUAAAUACUAAACUACUAUAUGAUUAGUAUAUAUAAUUACCAUGGGUCCCACCAAGUAUGAUUUGAACUUAUCAAAAACAUAAAACCACUACUAGUAUUUCCUUGUCUAUAAUCGUGUAAUUUUUCUAUAGCUCAUCCAGUUUCUUUGUUGCAUAGUAAAUAAAGUGAAAUUUCUAUCUCUUUUCUACCAAAGAACUUCUCCUGCAGCAAAAUAACUCACAUCACACAUAAAUAUAACUAGUAGAAACUAAUCUAGUUUAAUAAUUAUUAUAGCAACAAUCUCUAAUACCCUAAAAAUCCAUGCUAAGAUUAGAACAAAGCUUCAACUACAUAUAAAAUCAUAUAUAAUAUUUUGGUAGUCUGAGAAGUGAAGAAAGAAAUGAACUCUAGAACUAAUUUACAACGAAGUAGAUGAAUUACAAGUUGUUAAGUAGUGUUAGAGUCAAGUAAAAGAUGUUUAAGAAUCAAGGAAAAGAAACUAAGAAUCUAAAAUGAGCUUAUAAAAAUUUUUAGAGUGACUAACAGUGUGACUGGCCGUCAUUGGGGCCAUUGCCUCUUAUCUAAAAAGUGAGGUUAGACUGCCUCUUUUCGACUGGAGGUGUGACUGGCCAUCACUGAGGUGACUGGUUAUCCCUCUGGUCGUCGACCAGAACCAGGUGAGAAUUUUUGUCGUGCCCUUGUCCUUCUUGUAAUAUUCUUAGGAAUAAACAAGUGAAACUCCUUUUUCUUCAAGUCCUUUGUAUUAAACCCUUGUUUUUUUGAUGUCUUCUUCAAGACGUCAUGAUGAACUUGAAGAACGAUCAAAUUUUGACCCUCAAUCAAACAAACUCGGGAUUCGAUAAAAGUCAAACCUCAAGCUCUUAAACAAACCGUAAUAUUUUUUAUGGCUCAAAAGUCAUUCAAUAAUUUCAGCAUUUCAAAUCCUUCAAAGUUUUCCUUAAUUUGAUAUCAGAUUAAAAAGACAUGGCCAUUUUAGUGGAGCAGUGUCCAAUAGUGAGAACCUACGAUACGAUCUUAGCAAGAUUUUACGAUCAUCAAAUGCUCUUGACAUACUAAAACAGUCCCAAAAAACUGAAAGUUUACUAGUAUACCUUCAUACCAUAAUAGGGAAUCAUGGGCAUGGUUUGAAACCACUAUCUUUGAUACGAUCAUGAGUCCUAAAGCUCAUUUGGCUUGGACUUUCAACCUAUGAACUAAGGUGAGGUUGUAGGUGGAUCCCAUAAUCAUACUAUGGCUCAUCUAAGCAAGUGUAGAGUCCAUCAAAUUAGUUACCCAACUACGAGCACCAUCCCGAUCAGAGGUAGGUCCGAUGAUUGAGACUGGCUCCCCUGCGGCUUUUUCAAUUACAUUUUAUACAAGGAAUUCAAGUCUUUUACCACCUUUAAAACCCCUAAACUAUUUCAUUUAAGCCACCCCAAAGAUGAUAAUUAAUAUUAAUAUUUCUCUAUGUCUUCAUUACUUAGAAAGCAAUAGACACUUUGCAAAAAUAAGGGAAAAGAAGUGAUUUCUCUUUCUCAAGGCAAACUAGGGUUCAUCUUAUUCAAGCUACAAGUUUAGAGAUUUUUUCAAGUUGAUUCAUUCUUCAAUCUUAGUGUUUCCAUAAAAAAAGUGAAUUCUAAUAUCUUUCAAUUAAUUUCUAUAAAUAUAUAUAUUUUCCCAUAAAUUUGAGUAUCUUUACAUACUCAUGAUCAUGAAACUGUCAUUUUGAUAAAUACUUGAUUUUGAUCUUGGGUUACGCAAUUUCUUAUUACAUUCAUUUUAUAGAUAUCAUUAGUAGUUGCAUUCUUCUGAGAUGGUAGGUUACGAACACCCGAUGAUCUAUGAUAUUAUGCAUUUUAGUUGUAUAGGCAUUCAUUCAUUUUUCAUGAUACAAAAUUCUUUCUCAUAAAGUAUUUAUCCUUUAGUUUUAGAAAAUCGUUAUUGUUGAGAAUUUCAGCAUAUCAAUUUACUUUUUGUUGGAUGUAGUACUUAGCUCCGAGAGGAUAUAGGUUUAUAUAACUAAAGCCCAAAUUACAUUCCACCAUACAAAGAAGGAUUCUCGCUAUUUGCGAGUGUCUUCAUUUCCCUUAAUGGGUUGAUGAAUGAAUUCAUGUAAAUCAUGGUUCAUACACUUAGUAAGGUAUAAAACACCCUUCAAAAUUGGGUGACAAGUUGGAUUCCAUGUUACUCACAUGAUCUAUGUCGGUUACAAAAAUAUCCCACAGCUUAGCUUCAGACCUUCCUUGACCCUGUAUUAAGUUUGUUCAGCAUCUUAUAGUAUUUUAUGUCUAUUACUUGGGUAUAAAAUCAAUUUAAAAAUUUCAGUCCCAUGUUCAGGUUAGCAUGUCACUUUCAGCAUGUUCAUCUCACUUAGGAUAAUUCAUAUCUCACAUGCUCAGUACAUUCAAAGUAAUAACCACAUAAUUUCUUAUAUGCUAUGUUAUCUUAUAACAUAUGUUUUGAAGUUGCAUCCCAAUCGGUGUUAGCUUGAUCUAGUAGUAACUCUAUUGUUUGGUGAGUCUUUAUUAAUAGAGGACCAUUAUCAAUUUUUAUUUUUUGUUAUGUUUUUGUUUUAGACGAUUAGAGUUAAUUUGGGGAUUUUGGUCCUAGGAUAGUGUUUUAUUUUUAUCCGCAAUAAUCCCAAUGAAUAAUCCAACCAACCAAAAUAUAAUAAAUAGUGUAAAUAUUUCUACUACCUCUAGUAAAAUAACUAAAAUAGAAAGUGAUUUAUAAAAUUGGAAUAUUCUUUAGAAAGUUUUAAUAGAGUCUAUAAAACUAAACACUUUGAUUUUCUAAAAAAAUAUAAUAUUAAAACUUCUGAAUCCACUAUAGCAAUUAAUAGAAAUAUUGAGACUAUUAAAUUAUUAGCAGCUGAAGAUAUUAAUAGGUAUUGAAAAACUUACAAGUUCCUAGACACAGGUCUUGUUCAAGUAGCAGUUAAACCAUUAUAUAGAUUAGGUCUAGAUAUUCCUAUAUGUCUACUCUUAAGAGAUAAUAGGGUAUUAAACUUUGAUGACUCGUUAUUAGCAGUACUACAAAGUAACCUCGCUAAUGGCCGGUAUACUUUAAUUGUUAUCCUAAUUUUUCUAUAGAUAUUAACAAUCAAAAUGUUGUGGAUACCUUAAUGUUAAAUGUUAAAACAAAAAACAUGAAUAAUAAGGUAAAUACAAGAGAAAUAGCAAUAAUAUAUAGAGUAUAUUAUAGAUUAAUGAAAACAACCUUAGCCCCUAAGGCUUAAAUUUUUAGUAAUAAAGGAGCUACCAAGCUUAUGGAAGAUAAUCAAAAUCAUAAUAAUACCUUUGUACCAAAAAUGAUAAAAUGGUAUGAUGUAUUGAUAAGAAAUAAUUGGCAUUUUGACUCCAUAACGGUGCCAAAAAUUGAAGAUGAAAAUUCAAACAUUAAACAAGUUAUACAAUAUCCAGAUGGAUCUAUAGACUUACAGUUUCUAAGAUCCUAGUCUCUUAAUCAAGCUUCUUCAAGUAGAAGAAUGUCCUUUUCUAGACCAUCAGUCACCAAAUCUGUAGAAAAAAGGAGAGUGAUAUUAGAAGAUAUUGAAAGAAAAUUAAAAGAAGUAGAUCUGUCAAAAACAAUUCCCAAAGUAGAAUAUAAAUCUAGAAAUUUAAAGACUAAAAAAAUAGUAAGUCCUACUGCUAGUGAAAUGCUAGGAGUAAAAGAUUCUCUAUGCAUGAUUAGGUCAGACGAAAUAUUUGAACAUGACUUCGAAUAUUUAGAUAAAUUGUGGAAUAGCCCAUAAAAUUUUAUUUAAAAGAAAUGUUAUAAACAAAGAUAUUUAUUAAAAGAAAGAUAUUCUUUUAGAGAAAAAUGGUGUAAUGAUAUGAGAAUAUUAAGAUGAAAUAUUGAAUUUUUUUAAUUGUUUGAAAUUACAGGAAAAUUAUAUGAUCAAAAGGAAUCAUUAAAUAUGUUUGUUAAUAAAUGGUAUACUAGUGAUAAAGUAGUAGAUUUAAUAUUUCAACCGUUAGAAGUAAUUAGCCUAACAGUAGAUGGUAGAAUUGUCACUGCUUUAUCCUUUAAAUUAUAUAUAGUAGAUACUAAAGAUGAUCCUCAAAAUAAGGAUAUAAAUAGAAUACUUAAACAGACCAAAUACUACAUAUAGUUUCUAAACAGAUUCUCAAAGCCGAUAAUAAAUCAACUUUUAAAGACAAACCAACUUCUUUACAUCAUCAUAAAAGUUGGAAACUCACUUAAUAUUUAAAUUCCUUCAAUUCUCAAAAGUUGAAUUUCCUAAAUUUGAAAAAAAGUUUGAAGUAACAGAUGAUAUUUUAAGAAAAUUUAAUAAAACAUUAAAAUCUGAAUUAAAAGUCUUAAAUGAUAAGGUUAUAAAAACUUUAUCGGAAAAGAACGGUAAUGAAAUUAACAAACUAAGUUCUAAAUUUUUAGUGAAAAAGAAUAAUUAUAAAAAGCCAAUUUUCUGGAUAUCCAGUAUGACGAAAAUAAAUUUUUGUCUCGUAUUUCACAUUCUAGAAGAUAAAUUGUCUAAUGGAAUAUAAAUGGAUCAGAAGAACAUCAAAUAUAUAAUAAACUACAUAACAUGGGAAAGAUAGUCAUAUGACAUAUAAAAUUAACAACAUGACAGAUAAAAAGGCAACUAUUAUGAUUAUAUCAAGAUUUAUAGAUACUAUAAAAUAUUGGUGGGAUAACUACCUCAUAGAUAAUAAUAGGCAAAGCAUAUUAAAUGCUACAACUAUUACUCAAGCUAUUAAGACAGAGUCAACAGGAAAAAUAGUUAAAAAUCAAGUCUCAAAAGAUGCCGCUGCCACUUUAAUUUCUAGUAUAGCUAACCAAUUUAUAAGAAAACCUCAACUUUUUCAAGAUAGAAGCGUAGAAAUAUUGUCAUAUUUAUCUUGUCCAAAGUUAGUAUAACACCCCGAGAGUAAAACCUAGGUGCCAAAUGGUGCUUACAAUCUCGAGGCACCACAAGCUAACCAAUGAGAUAGUACCUGUUGUAAGCACUGAAUAAUAUACUAAAAAUAAAAGACAUGUGUAGAAAUUAACUAAAAAUGCCAUAAUGUUUAAGUUCUAAAACAUCUUAAAUCAAGAUGGGAAAGACUGACAAUAAUAACUAAUAACUAGCUAACUAUCUGUACUUAUCUAAAAAGCCUCUACUGACUGACUGUGGAGUUGAUGGGGCAAACCCCCAACUAACUCCGACUGAUUAGUAAAAUACUGAACUAAUAAGUACACCGAGAUAAAUAAACCAUGUUCUCAAAGUAUGAGAACUCACCACUGCUAUAACUACUAAUCUAGUAUGUCUAUGCGCGAUUAGGGAACUGAGUGUCUGAACCUAUGAUGUUAAACAUCAUAGCGCAAGAAAUAGGUAUGCGAUUAGUACAUUCAAUGUACUAGUAUGCUAAAUGAGGUUAGGCUAAUAUGCAUGGUUUCAUGUGCAUGAGUAAUAACUUACUAAAUAAAUAGCAUAAAGUACUGAGCAAAAUUCAUAAAAUCUACAAAGGUUAAGAAUGCAUGACAAAGCAUAAAAUAUGUCCUGAAUAUAGUCUGUAAAUUCAAAUACAUACUGAUAAAUGAAUAACUGGUGUUUGUAUAUUGUGGUCAAGAAAAUCUGAAACUCAAUUACUAAGUUGAAUACUGGACUGAGAUUAUGGGAGCUAUCAAUUAAUUGGCAUAACCCAAUGAGCAAAUUGGGGUCUGCCUGUGACCCCAGUUGGAAUGUUUUCGAUAUUGUGCCAUGGGUACUAAAACAUGGCUGUAUGGAUCCACUAGUAUGUUGUCCCAAAGGACUAAGGGUGUUAACCCUAAACUGACGAAUGACCCCUGCGAGGUUGCCAAGCCUGAACAAACGAGUGACUCUCCAUAUCCUACACUGGCUACGUAGUUCUAAAGUACAAGGAUUGCUACUAAUGACUCUACCUAACUGAUAAGGAAGCCUCCCUCUCUGCACUCGCUCGGUGCUAAAUCCUACUACCAAUUGAAAGACACUGAAUUCUGGACUGGCUAUAUUUAAUGAUUUAUAGUAACUGACUGAAAUAAUGGACUUGUAACUAUUCUGUGACCCAUCUUUAGACACUAAAAAAAUAGGUAGGCAGCUAAAAUUUGGGUAUUAAAACACCCAGGACUCGAUAGCAAUGAUAAAAAGUCAUACUAAAACUGCAAGUACAUAAUGGGAAAACAUUUAUUCAAAACUAAUUCUCGUAGGCAUUUCAUCAAACACUUGACAUUCAUAGUUUAAGCUAAGAAUGGGAAUAGUUUAAAUCUUGUAGUAAUGUCAACAUCAAUAUCACUAAUUAUGAUUAAAUUUGGAAACAACAUCAUUCAACCACUUAGGAUUUAAUAACAAGAACAAUUUCAUAUCAAGCAUGGUAUAAAUCGAAAUUCAUGAGAACUCAUGGACAAAAUUCAUAAAAACAAGUAAAGAUCAUACUUAUAAAUUUUAAAGAGGUUCUUGGCCUCUAUGGGUAGAAGGGACACAUGGAUGAAUAUUUAAUAUACCUCAAUUAAAGAAUCCUUGAAAGUUCUUGGUGGAUUUUCUAGGGAAUUGAUCUUGAAAGUUAAAGCUUUAGGGUUUUCUUGGAGAGAAAUUUUGGUGAAUAAUCAGCAUACAUGGCUUAGAAUAGGUGAAAUAUUCUAUUUUCAUGAAUUAGGGUGAGUGUAAUUGACUUAAAUGCCCUUUUGAAACUUAAAAUCGUGAUAGGAAUCCAAAUUUUACCCCUUGGCGUGAUGCGGUUCUAUUGCAUUGCAUCACUAGAAAAUGGACGAGUGCAAUUUUGCACUCCAUAGAAAUGUAGUGCUAUGAAAUUUGCACUCCAAUGCGAUGCGGUGCUUUCUCUACCGCAAUUUCAUGCGCGAUACUAGCCAAUCACGAUGACCUACUGGAAAGGGACUAGUUUGAUUUAGGGGCUCAUAGUGAAAUGAUACAAUCACAGUGGAUUACUGGAAAUGAUGAGUGUGAUUUAGAGAAUCACCGCGAUGUGAUAAAAUUGCAGUGGUUCACUGCCUCAAACAAAAAAUGUUAUAACUUCUUACCUGGGCAUCGAACUAAGGCAAAAUUGGUAUCAUUGGAAAGCUGACUCAAUUAUCUACAAUUUGUUGGGUUUUUAGAUGGAAUCUUAGUAGAAUGAAAGAUAUUUUCAUUUGAAGUUGACUAUAACAACAUCCUUCUCAAGAACUCAAUCGGUAAGGGAUAUUUUGAUUAGUAUAAUAGCUAGGAGUUAUUUGAGGCCUUAAUAAAUAUCAACUCACUCAUAAAACUACCAAAGAACUAUAAUUCAUUUCUCAUGAUCUUGAAGUAUGGUUCUAAUAUUAGUUUGGAUUCUUGGUGUAUUACAAUAUCUCCUUCUUGGGAACAUUCAUCCUCGAAUGAGAUUAGUUAAGCUGAGAACACUAAGGAAUUAAGGUUACAUGCAGAAAAUACGUGAUGAAAAUGUGAUUACAUGACUGAAUCUGAAAAAUGACACAUGAAUGAACUGGUUUUGUGAAUGCAUGAAUGACAUGAGAAUGAUAUGCGGCUGGAACAGAGCAUGGAAAUGAUAAAUUCUAGGGAAAAUUGUUACUUUAAACUGAGUCUGAGUUGGUGGAGAAAACAUGAGGGUACUUGGUCUGCAUAUCUUCUUUUGCUUCCCAAGUGGCUCCCUCAAUGAAUUUUUCUGCCAAAGUACCUUGACUAGGGGAACUUCUUUGUUCCUUGGUAUACGAAUCUGUCGAUCAAGGAUCUCGAUAGAAAUUUCAUCAUAAGAAAAGUUGUUUUGAACACCUACACUUUAUAAGGGAACAACUACAGCUAGGUCACCAAUACACUUCUUCAACAAAGAGAUAUGGAAUACCGAGUGUACUGAUGCUAAGAAUGUAGGCAACUCAAGCUCAUAAGUCAUUUUUUCAAAACGGCUCAGAAUUCAGUGAGGACAAACAUAUCAGGGACUGACUUUCCCUUCUUACCAAACCUCUUUACCCCCUUCAUGGGAUAGAUUUUUAAAUAUAUAAAAUCACCAAUCUCAAAUUUAAGAUCUUUUCUUCUCACAUCUACAUAAUAUUUCUAUUGGCUUUGGUCUGCAUUAAUCCUCUCCCUGACUAGAUGAACUUUCUCUAAAGCAUCAAACACCAAAUCGGGCCUUAUCAAAGCGGUUUCACCUAUCUCAAACCAACCAAUUGGAGAUCUAUAUCUUCUUCCAAAUAAAUCCUCAAACGGAGUCAUUUGAAUACUGGAAUGAUAGAUAUUAUUAUACGUGAAUUCAAUCAAAGGCAAAUUAUCAUCCCAACUACACUUAAAGUCAACAACACACACUCUUAACAUGACUUCACGAUUCUAAAUGGUCCUUUCUGUCUGACUAUUUGUCUAAGGGUGGAAGGUGGUACUGAGGUAAACUUUGGUAUCAAGACCAUCUGGAAAGCUUUCCAAAGAUAAGAGGUAAACUAAGUACCUCUAUCUGAGAUGAUAGAUAGUGGAACACCGUGCAACCUAACAAACUCAUUAAUAUAGAGCUUGGCAUAGUCCUUAGAUGAAUAAGAAGUAUGGAGUGGUAAUAAAUAGGUUGAUUUGGUCAUCCUAUAUACAAUGACUCAAAUUGAAUCCUGCUGAUGACUAGUACGAGGCAUACCUAUCACAAAAUCAAUGUUCACUUUCUCCAACUUCCAAGUGGGAAAACUGAACUCCUGCAUAGACCCACUUGACUUUUGAUGUUCAAUCUUAAUCGGUUGACCAGUGGUUCACGUAGCUACAAACUCUGCAAUAUCACUCUUCAUACCACUCCACCAAAAGAUUUCCUACAGAUUAUGGAAUAUCUUCUUGGCCCCAGGAUGAAUAGAGUAAAGCACCAUGCCCUUCUGCAAGAAUUCACUAUCUCAACUCAUCAAUACUCGGCAUGCACAGUCUACCUUGGCAAUGCAACACACUAUCUCCCCCUUGGGAUAAAAACUCUACUUUUUGAUCUCUGACUGACUCCUUCAUCUUUACUAGGCUGGGAUCCCUAUCUUGCUUUUCUUUUACUUCGGCAACCAAAGAAGAUUCUAAACUAUUUUGAAACCUAUACACUACCCUCAGUUGCAUUAACCAAAUGAAUGUCUAAUCUAGCCGACUGAUGAACUUCCUAAACUAACUCCUUCUUAUCAUUCUCAAUGUGAGCAACACUACCCAUACACAGUCUACUGAGGGAAUCCGCUACUAUAUUGUCCUUUCCCAGAUAAAGCCGAACAAUCAUGUCAUAAUCUUUCAACAAUUCUAACCAUAUCCUCUGACAAAAAUUCAAAUCCUUCUGUGUAAACACAUACUACAAGCUUUUGUGGUCUAUGAACAUAUCCUCAUGCACCCCACAAAGAAUGUGCCUCCAUAUUUUUAAUAUAAAUAUAACAGAAGCUAGCUCAAGAUCAUAGGUAGGGGAAUUCUUUUCAUGGGGAUUAAGCUAUCCAGAGGAAUAAGCCACAACCUUACCCUUUUGCAUUAAAGCACACCCCAAACAAACUUUGAAAGCAUCACAGUACAUAAUAAACUAAUCUAAACUCUCUGGUAACGUCAAAACUGGGGUUGUGGUGAGUCGAGUCUUUAACUACUGAAAACUCUUUUCGUAAGAAUCUAACCACGAAAACUCAACUUUAUUCUGAGUCAAUCUGGACAUAGGGGUGAAAUAGACAAAAACCCUUCAACAAACUAUCGAUAAUCACCAGCCAAGACCAAGAAACUCCUGAGAUCUUAACGGAGAAAUAGGUCUAGGCCAUUUUCUCACCGCUUUAUUCUUUUGACAAUCGACUCUAAUGCCAUCAUCGGAAAUAAUAUAACUAAGGAAAUAUACAAACCUUAUCCAAAUUUCAUACUUACUGAAUUAGGCGAACAACUAAUGGAUUCUAAGAGUCUACAAUACUAUUCUGAGGUGGUCUACAUGAUCAUUUUUCUUAUGGGAGUAGACAAGAAUGUCAUCAAUGAAUACUAUGACAAACAUAUCCAAAUAUUAUUUUCUCACUUAAAGGUAUGAAAUAAGUUGACCCCUAAGUGUUGUGGUACUACCCGUUCAUUCGAGGACUGGUUCAUUUGGAAAUUGGAAAUAAACAACCCUAUUUCUACAAUAAAAUAAAGCAUAGCAUGAAUGGAGCCAGCCCAUGCUGAGAAUGAUGUCAAAAUUUGUCAUCUCUAACUUUACCAGGUCUACAAAGGUAACUUUUUGAGACACCAUAAUAGGACAGUAACUGUAUCCCACUGGGUUAUGAUAUAUUUACCCACUAGGGCAGAUACUGAGAAACGAUCUAUUAAUGUUUUGAGACUGACUUCAAAGUUGACAGCUAUGUAAGGGGUUACAAAAGAAAGAGAAUCUCCCAGAUCUAGCAAGGCAUAAAUAUGUAAAUGAAAGACUUGUAAUGUACCAGUAACCACAUCAGGAUAACUUUCUCGAUCCUAUCAGGUUUGAAGUGCAUAAAGUCUAUUUUGAUGAUGACCACUAGUAGCCCUAGAAGUGGCGCCUUGCUGAGUCGGGGGACCUAUUGGAGCUAAUUAAUAAUAGGACUGGCCCAGUUAGUGCACAUCUCUUCACUUAUGAUCAACCACCCAAUACUCCCGAAUCUUAUGACCUAGCUUACCAUACCCAAAACACACGUCGUUGUCGGUUUCACAAACACCCUGAUUGUUUCUACCAUAUUUCUAGAAAAAAGGAUUUGUACGAGUACUGUUCACACUACCUUGAGAUUUAGUGCCUGGUGCUCUAUCUCUAUCAUCAUUUCUAAAUUUAGGCACUGGUGCACUAGCCAAUGAUGGAGUUGGGACUGAAGAUUUUGAGUAGAAUUGAGGAUGAUUUCUACCCUCUGACUUUAGCAGAGUGAAAUUAAAGAUACUAAUUCUAACUAUGUUAUUCUUCUCUCUCUCCUCUCAGUAUUCUUCUCCUCAAUCUAUUGAGCAUGAACUAUCAACCUCACCAAGUCCAUCUAUUUGAUCAACAUUGUGGUCCUACACUCCUUGACCACAUUGUUAGUUAUGCUAGAUACAAACUUGCUCAUCCUAGACAUGUUAUCAAUUGAGGAGCAUACCUAGCUAGAUGAGUAAAUUUAAGGGAAUACUUUUUCACACUCAUAUUCUGCCUCAAGUUGAUAACUCUAAUACUUUGUCUUCCCUCUGAUUUAACUCGAAGAAUCUUUUUAGAAAGGCUGUACAAAACACUUCCUAUUCAAUAGGCCCUGCAUCUGUGCCUCUCUUCCCUUUCCACUACUUAAACUAGGUAUGGGCUAUAUACUACACUUGGUAAGCAGCCAAUUCAGCACUCUCACUAGAACUUAAACCCAUAAUAUUUAUUACCUUCUAGAUCAUGUCAAGAAAUUCCUACAGAUUCUUUUUAUAUUUAGAUCACAAAAAUAGAUGAAGCUUCCUUCGGGUAAAGUCCUAAAUCCUAGCUGUGGCAGUAUUAGCCAUAUAGUUGGCUGAAACAACGAUUGGCCAAACAUUCUGAGCUGCUACAGAGUGAGAUAGAGUAGUGAAUACAGCUCUGAACUCUAUAUGAGAAAUAUGCUUAUUCAAGGGAUCUUCCAGAAUGGGUAGAGGUGCUUCCUGGUUUAUAUUUUGUCUUCUAUAGGAGGCAUGUUCUAUAAGUAGAAGGAAGAACAUAUUAGAUAGAGAGUUUAACAUGAGCUCAUGCUCAAUCACACAACAUGAAUAUUGAAAGAAAUGAAACUUUUCCCAAAAUGCCUCGUAGCCUCCUAUCCAUAAGUGUGGCGCGCUUCACACCCAUGCACAAGAAUCUACUUGACGUGGGUUUCAGACUUCCUAGGACACUUUAAAACCUUAGGCUCUGAUACAAUGUUUGUAAUGCCCCGAGAGUAGACUCUUGGUGCCACAUGGUACUUAUAGUCCCAAGGGACCACAAGCUAACCCAUGAGCUAGUACUUGUUAUGAGCACUAAAUAAUAUAAUAAAACUAAAAGACAUGUGUAAAAAUUAACUAAAAAAUUCCAUAAGGUUUUAAGUUCAAAAACAUCUGAAGUCAAGACCGAAAAGACUGAUAAUAACAACUAAUAACUGACUAAUUGUCUGUACUAGUCUGGAAAUCCUCUACUAACUCUGAUUGUGGAUCUAAUGGAACAAACCCCCAACUAACUCCUACAGAUUAGUAAAAUAUUAAAAUUAUAAGGUAAACUGAGAUAAAUAAACCAUACCCUCAAAGUAUAAGGACUCACUAUGGCUACAGUUGAUAAUCUGGUAUGUCUAUACGCGAUUAGGGAACUGAGCAUUUGAUCCUAUGAUAUUAGACAUCAUAGAAUAAGAAAAUAGUGAUAAAUAAGUUUAGGCUAAUAUGCAUGGUUUCAUUUGUAUGAGUAAUAAUUGGUUGAAUGAAUAACAUGAAAUACUGAGCAAAAUACAUGAAAUCUGAAAAGGCUGAGAAUACAUGACCAAGCAUAAAACAUGUCCUAAUAUAGUAUGUAAACUAAAAUACUAAUAAAUGAAUAACUAGUAUCUGUAUGCUAUGGUCAAGCAAAUCUAAAACUGAAUUGUCGAGCUAAAUAUUGCAUUGAGACUAUUAGAUCUAUCAUUUAACUGACAUGCCCUAAUGAGCAAAUUAGGGUCCAACCUGUGACCCCAAUUGGAAGGGUGUUGGUAUGCCAAGGGUACUAACACAUGGCUACGUGGAUCCACUAAUGUGUUAUCCUGAAGGACUAAGGGUUUCAAUCCUAAACUGGCGGCUGCCCCCUAAGAGGUAGUUAAGACUGAACUAAUGAGUGACUCCUUAUAUCCUAUGCUGGCUACAUAGUUCUGGAGUACAGGGCUUGCAACUAAUGACUCUACCUAUCUAAUAGGGAAACUUUCAUCCUCGCACUCUCUCGGUGCUAAAUCCUACAUCCAACUGAAAGACACUCAACUCUAGACUGACCAAGUUUAAUUAUUUAUAGUUAACUAUUUAUAGUAACUGACUGAAAUAAUAGGAAUUGUAACUGUUCUGUGCCCAUUCUUUAGACACUAAAAUACCAGGUAAGAAGCUAAAAUUUGGGUAUUCAAACCCCCAGGACACAAUAGCAUUGAUAUCAAUAUCAUACAAAAUCUUUAAGGACAUAAUUUGUAAACAUUUAUUCAAUACUCAUUCUUGUAAACAUUUCGUCAAACACUUGACAUUUGUAGUAUAAGCUAAGCAUGGGAAUAGUUUAAAGCUUGUAGUAAUAGCAUAAUUUCAAUAUCAACAUCACUAAUUAUGAUUUCAUUAGAGAACAACACCAUUCAACCACUUGGGAUUCAAUAAUAAGAACAAUUUUGUAUCAGGCAUGGUAUAAAUUGAAAUUCAUGAGAAAUCAUGGAUAAAAUUCAUAAAAACAAGUAAAGAUCAUACUUUUAAAUUUAAAAGAGGUUCUUGGGUUCCAUAGGUAGAAGGGGCCUAUGGAUGAACAUUUAACAUACCUCAAUUAAGGAAUCCUUAAAAGUUUUUGGUGGAUUUUUUGUGGGAAUUGAUCUUGAAAUUUAAAGUUUUAGUGUUUUCUUGGAGAGAAAUUUUGGUGAAUAAUGAGUGUACAAGGUUUAGAAUAGGUUAAAUCUUCUGUUUUCACAAAUUAAGGCGAGGGUAAUUGACUUAAAUGCCCUUCUGAAACUUAAAAUGACGAUUGGAAUCCUUAUUUUAACCCUUGGUGCAAUGCGGUGCUAUCGUAUUUCGUCGCUAGAAAAUAGGCGAGUGCAAUUUUGCACUCCAACACAAUGUGGUACUUUUGUGAUGUGUCACUGGAAAACGAACGAGGGUGAAUUUGCACUCUAACGCGAUGUGGUGCUUGAUCCAUUUCAAAUUCUGGCGUGACACUAGCCAAUUAUAGUGACCUACUAGAAAGGGACAAGUGUGAUUUAGGGGCUCACCGCGAUAUGGUACAAUCACGAUGGCUUAAUGGAAAUGAAAAGUGUGUAGGGACUCAUCCUAAUGUAGUACAAUUGCGGUGGCUCACUGCCUCCUGCAAAAAAUAAUACAACUUCUCACCUGGGCAUUGGAUUAAAGUGAAAUUGGUAUUGUUGGAAUGCUGACUUAAUUAUCCAAAAUUUGGUGGGUCUUGAGAUGGAAAAUUGUUAGUAUGAAAGAUAUGCUCAUUUAAAGUUGACUAUAGGAACAUCCUUCUCAAGAACUCAAUCGAUAAGGGAUAUUUUGAUUUGUCUAAUAGCUAGGAGUUAUUUGAGGCCAUAAUACACAUCCAAAUCGCUCAUAAAAAUACCAAAGAACUAUAAUUCAUUUCUCAUAAGAUCGAAGCAUGGUUCUAAUAUUGGUUUGGAUUCUCGAGGUAUUACAAUAUCUCCUCCUUAAUAAUAUUCGUCCUUGAAUGAGAUUUUUUAAGAUGAGAACACUAAGGAAUUGAGGUUAUAUGUUAAAUAUACAUGAUGAAAAUGUGAUUACAUGAUAGAGUCUGAAACAUGACACAUAACUGGACUGGUUUUGUGAAUGCAUAAAUGACAUGAGAAUGAUAUGAAGCUGUAACUGAGCAUGGAAAUGAGAAAUUCUAGGGAAAUUUGUUACCUUAAGUUGAGUUUGAGUUUGUAGAGAAAAUAUGAGGGUACUUGGUCUGUAUAUCUACUUUUGCUUCCCAAGUGGCUCCCUCAAUGGACUGAUUAUGCCAAACAACCUUGACUAGGGAAACUUUUUUGUUUAUUAUUCUAUGAAUCUGUCGAUCAAGGAUCUCGACUAAAAUUUCUUCGUAAGAAAGGUUGUUCUGAAUAUCUAUGCUUCCUAAGGAAACAACAACAACUGGGUCACCAGUACACUUCUUCAACAAAGAGAUAUGGAAUAGCGUGUGUAGUGAUGCUAAGUUUGUAGGUAAGUCAAGCUCAUAAUCCACCUUUCAGAAAUGGUUCAGAAUUCUGUAAGGGCCAACAUAUCAUGGACUAGCUUCCCCUUCUUACCAAACCUCUUUACCUCCUUCAUGGAAGAGAUUUUUAGAUAUAAAACAUCAUUAACCUAAAACUUGAUAUCUUUCUCCUCACAUCUGCAUAAGAUUUUUAUCGGCUUUGGGCUCCCUUAAGCCUCAUCCUAACUAGCUAAACUUUCUCUAAAGCAUCAAACACCAAAUCAGGACCUAUUAAAGUAGUCUCACCUAUAUCAAACCAACCAAUUAGAGAUAUACAUCUCCUUCCAUAUAGAGUCUCAAACGGAGCCAUCUGAAUAUUGGAAUGAUAGUUGUUAUUAAAUGAAAAUUCAACCAAAGGCAAGUGUCUAUCCCAAUUACCCUUAAAGUCAAUGACAAACACUUUAAAUAUGUCUUCAGGGUUCUGAAUGGUCCUCUCUAUCUGACCAUUUGUCUGAGGGUGUAAGGUGGUACUGAGGUGAACUUAGGUACCAAAACCCUUAUGGAAACUUUUCAAAAGUUAGAGGUAAAUUGAGUACCUCUAUCUGAGAUAAUAGAUAAAGAAAUACCGUGCAACUUAACCAGCUCACCAAUUUUGCAUAGUCCUCGGCUGAAUAAGAAGUAUGGACGGGUAAGAAAUAGGUUAAUUUAGUCAUCCUAUCCACAAUGACCCGAAAUUAAAUCCUGCUGACGAUGAGUACGAGGCAAACCCGUCACAAAAUCCAUGUUCACUUCCUCCCACUUCUAAGUGGGAAUACUGAACUCCGACAUAGACCCACUGGUCUUUUGAUGUUCAAUCUUAACCUGUUGACAAGUGGAGAACUUAGCAAAAAACUCUACAAUAUCCCUCAUCAUUCUAUUCCAAUAAUAGAUUUCCCAUAUAUCGCGGUACAUCUUUGUGUCACCUGGAUGAAUAAAGUAACACGCACCAUGUACUUCUGCAAGAAUUCACUGACUCAACUUAUCAAUACCCGGCACACAUAGCCUAACCUGGCAACGCAACAUACUAUCUCCCUAUUGGGAGAAAAUCUCUACUUUUUAAUCUCUGAUUGACUCUUUCAGCUUCACCAGACUGGGAUCCCUAUCUUGCUUUUCUUUCACUUUGGCAACUAAAGAAGAUUCUAAACUAUUUUGAACCCCUAUACUACCCUCAGCUAAAUUAACAAAAUGAAUGCUAAAUCUAGCCAACCGAUGAACAUCCUGAACUAACUCCUUCUUAUCAUUCUCAACGUGAGCAACAUUACCCAUAGACAGUCUACUGAGGGCAUUCGCUACUAUAUUGGCCUUGCCCUGUAGAUAUAAAAUAUUGAUGUCAUAAUCUUUCAACAAUUAUGACCAUCUUCUCUGACACAAAUUCAAAUCCUUUUGCAAAAACACAUACUACAAGCUUUUUUAGUUCGUGAACACAUCAAUAUGCAUCCCAUAAAGAUAGUGCCUCAAGAUUUUUAAUGCAAACACAAAGCAACUAGCUCAAGAUCGUGGGUAGGGUAACUCUUUUCAUGGGCCUUAAUCUUUCUAGAGGCAUAGGCCACAACCUUACCAUUCUGAAUUAAAACACACCCCAAACUAACUCUAAAAGCAUCACAAUACAUAACAAGCCCAUCUGAACCAUCUGGUAAAAUCAAAACUGGUGUUAUGGUAAGUCGAGUCUUCAACUUCGAAAAACUCUUUUAACUAGAAUCUGGCCACUUAAACUUGACUUUCUUCUGAGUCAAUCUGGAUAUAUGGGGUGUAAUAGAUGAAAACCCUUUAAAAACCCAUCGAUAAUAUCCAUCUAAGUUUAAAAAACUCUUGAUAUUUGGCAAAGAAAUGGGUAUGGGCCAGUUUCUCACUACUUUGGUCUUUUGAAGAUCAACUCUAAGUCCAUCACUAAAAAUAAUAUGACCAAGGAAAGCUACUGACCUUUGCAAAAAUUCAUGCUUACUGAAUUUGGUGAACAACUAAUAGGUUCUAAAAGUCGACAAUGCUAUUUUGAGGUGGUUUACAUGAUUAUUUUCAUUACAUAAGUAGACAAGAACGUCAUCAAUGAAUACUAUGAUGAACAUGUCCAAGUACUAUUUGAACACUCAGUUCAUCAAGUCCAUGAAUGUUUCCGGGGAAUUUCUAUGACCAAAGGACAUGACUAAAAACUCAAACUGACAAUACCAGAUCUAAAAAGCUAUUUUUGGAAUGUCAUAUUCUCUGAUUCUAAGCUGAUGAUAGCCGGAUCUGAGGUCUACCUUAGAAAAAUAACUAGCACCCUGAUGUUGGUCAAACAAUUCAUUAAUUCUGGGAAAUAGGUAUUUUUUUAAGGUGACUUUAUUCAAUUGAAGAUAGUUUAUGAACAUUCUAAGAGAACCGUCUUUCUUAAGCACGAAUAGGACUGGUUCACCCCAUGGGGAAAUGCUGGGCCUAAUAAAUCCCUUAUAUAAGAGGCCUUUCAACUUUCUAAGUUUGACUAGAGUCAGUCUGUAUGGGGGAAUAUAAAUAAGUUGAGUAUUCAAAAGAAGGUCUAUUCCAAAGUCAAUUUCCCUUUUGGGAGGAACUCUGGGAAGAUCUUCAAGGAACACAUCUGGAAAUUCCCUUGCUACUAGAACUAACUCACUAUUGGGAUUCUCGGAGUUAGACUCUUUGACUCAUACAAGAUGGUAGACACACCCCUUGGAUAUCAUUUUUCUCACUCUAAGGUGUGAAAUAGGUUGACCGCUAAUCGCUAUAGUACUAGCCCUCCGUUCUAGUACUGGUUCAUUUGGAAUCUGAAAAUGGACAACCCUAUUUUUACAAUCAACUGAAGCAUAUGAUGAAUGGAUCUAAUCCAUGCUUAGAAUUAUGUUAAAACCUGUCAUCUAUAACUCUACUAGGUCUACUGAGGUAACUUUUUGUGAUACCAUAACUGGGCAGUUUCUUUAUACCUGUUGGGCUUUGAUAGAUCUGCGCACUAGGGUAGAUACUAAGAAGGGAUCUAUCAAGGUUUCAGGACUAACUUCUAAGUUGACAUCUAGGUAAGGGGUUACAAAAUAAUGAGAAGCUUCGAGAUCUAGCAAGGCAUAAACAUAUAAAUGAAAGAAUUGUAAUGCACAGUAACCACACCAGGAGAACUUUACUAAUCCUAUUGGGUAUUAAGUGCAUAAAUUCUAUUCUGAUGCUAACCACUAGUACCACUGGAAGUGGUGCCCUGCUAAAUCGGGCGAUCUGCUAGAGCUUAUGAAAGAUAGAACUGGCCUUGUUGGUGUACAUCUCUUCCCUUCUGAGCAAUCACCUAGCACUCUCGAAUUGUAUGUCCUAGCUUACAACACCCAAAACAUAUAUUGUUGUCAACUUUACAAACACCCUGAUGGUUUCUACCAUAUUUUUGGCAAAGAGAAUUUAUACGAGCACUGUUCACACUACCCUAAGAUUUGAGCCUGAUACUCUGACCCUAUAAUCAUUUAUGAAUUUGGGCACUGGUGCACUAGCCGAUGACAGAGCUCGGACUGAAGAUUUAAAGAAGAACUGAGGAUGAUUUCCACUAUUUGACUUUGGCUGAGUGAAAUUAAAGCUACCUAUUUUAGCUAUCUUAUUCUCCCUUCCUCUCUCUCUUCUUAGUCUUCUGCUCCUCAAUUUGUUAAUCACGAACAAUCAACCUCACCAAGUCCAUAUCUUUGAUCAAUAUUGUGGUCCUACACUCGUUGACCAUACUAUCAGAUAUGCUAGACACAAACGUGCUCAUCCUAUACUUGUUAUUAGCCACCACAUGACGAGCAUACCUAUCUAGCUGAGUAAAUUUAUGGGAAUACUCCUUCACACUCACGUUGUCCUACCUCAAGUUGAUAAACUCUAACACUUUAGCUUUCCUCAACUUCAAUGGGAAUAAUCUAUCUAAGAAGGCUUUAGCAAAAUCUAACACUUGAUGCGGCUUUCAUACUCCCUAGGAAACUUUAAAACCUUAGGCUCUGAAAGUAAUUUUGAAAAACCCUGAGAGUACAUCUUAGACUCCACACGGCACUUAUAGUCCCAAGGGACCACAAGCGAACCCAUGAGUUGGUACCUCCUGUGAGAAGUAAAUAAUAUAUUGAAAAUAAAAGUCAUGAGCAGAAAUUAACUGAAAAAUACCAUAAGGUUUUCAGUUCUAAAACAUCUUAAAUCAAGAAAGGAAAGAUGAGCAAUAACAACUAAUAACUAACUGUCUGUACUAGUCUGAAAAACCUCUACUGACUGACUGUGGAGAUGAUAGGACAAACCCCCAACUACCUCUAACUGAUUAGUAAAAUACUCAACUGAUAAGGAAAACUAAGAUAAAUCAACUAUGUCCUCAAAGUAUGAGGACUCACCACUGCUACAGCUGAUAAUUUGGUACGUCUAUACACAACAAGUGAAGUGGGCUCCAGAACCUAUGUAUUAGACAUCAUAGCACAAGAAAUGAAUAUACGAUCAGUACCUUAAAUGUAUAGGUAUGCUAAAUAAGGUUAGAAUAAUAUGCAUGGUUUCACGUUCAUGAUUAAUAAAUGACUAAAUGAAUAGCAUAAAGUACUAAGCAAAAUUCAUGAAAUCUGUAAAGGCUAAGAAUGCAUGACUAAGGAUAAAACAUGUCCCAAAUAUAGUUUGUAAACUUGAAUACUAAAUACUGAUAAUUGUAUAAUUGAUAUCUAUAUGAUAUGUUUAAGCAAAUCAUAAAUUGAAUUACUGAGAUGAAUACUGGACUGAGACUGUGAGAGCUAUCAUUUAACCAACAUGUUCCAAUGAGAAAAUUUGGGUCCAACCUAUGACCCCUAUUGGAAGGGUAUCGAUACCGUGCCACAAUUACUAACACAUGGCUACGUUGAUCCACUAAUGUGUUAUCUUGUAGUAGUAAGGGUGUUAAGCCAAAAUUGAUGAAUGAUCGCUGAGAGGUAGUUAAGCCUGAACUAAUGGGUGACUCCCUAUAUCCUAUGCUGGCUACGUAGUUUUGGACUACAGGGAUAGAUACUAAUAACUCUGCCUAACUGAUGUGGAAGUAGCCAUCCCUGCACUCGGUCGGUGCUAAAUCCUACUCCUAACUGAAAGACACUAAACUUUGGACUGACUAUGUAUAACUGUUUAUAGUAACUGACUUAAAUAAUAGGACUUGUAACUGAUCUAUGACCAUUCUUUAGACACUGAAAAACUAGGUAAGCAGCAAAAUUUGGGUUAUUCAAACCCCCAGGACGCGAUAGCAAUGAUAGAAAGAUCAUACUAAAACUUUACAGAUAUAAUAUGUAAAUAUUUAUUCGAAACUCAUUCUUAUAGGCAUUUCAUCAAACACUUGACAUUCAUAGUUUAAGCUAAGCAUUGGAAUAGUUUAAAGCUUGAAGUAAUAGCAUGAUUUCAACAUGAACUUCACUAAUUAUUAUUUAAUCAGCGAACAAGACCAUUCAACCAUAUGGGAUUUAAUAACAAGAACAAUUUUGUAUCAAGCAUGGUAUAAAUCGAAAUUGAUGAGAACUCAUCGAUAAAAUUCGUAAAAACAAGUAAAGAUCAUUCUUGUAAAUUUAAAAGAGGUUCUUGGGAUCCAUGGGUGAAAGGGACCCAUGGAUGAACAUUUAACAUACCUAAAUUGAAGAAUCCUUUAAAUUUCUUCGUGGAUUUUUUUGUGCGAAUUGAUCUUUAAAGUUGAAGCUUUAGGGUUUUCUUUGAGAGAAAGUUUGGUGAAUAAUGAAUGUACUAGGCUUAGAAUAGGUUAAAUCUUUUGUUUUCGCAAAUUAAGGCAAGGGUAAUUAUCUUAAAUGCCCUUCUAAAACUUAAAAUUGCAAAUGGAUUCUUAAAUUUACCCCUUGGCAUGACGCAGUGCUAUUGUGUUGCGUCGCUAGAAAAUGGACGAGUGUGAUUUGGCACUCCAGUACGACAUAGAGCUAUCACAUUGCAUAACUGGAAAAUGGACGAGUGUGAAUUUGCACUCGAACAUGAUGGGGUGCUUGCUCCAUCACAAUUUUUGUUAAUACACUGGCCAAUUAUGGUGAUCUACUAGAAAGUGAUGAGUGUGAUUUAGGGGCUCACUACGAUGUGGUACAAUUAUGGUGGUUCACUGCCUCACACAAAACAUGCUAUAACUUCUCUCCUGGGCAUCAAACUAAGGCAAAAUUGGUAUCGUUGGAAAUCUGACUCAAUUAUCUAUAAUUUGGUGGGUCUUGAGCUGGAAAAUUCUUAUUAGAAUAAAAGAUAUACUCGUUUGAAGUUGAUUAAAGCAACAUCCUUAUCAAGAACUCAAUAGGUAAGGGACAUUUAGAUUCGUCUAAUAGCUAGGAGUUAUUCGAGGCCUAAAUACACACCAAACUCGCUCAUAAAACUACCAAAGAACUAUAAUUCAUUUCUCAUAAGAUGAAAGCAUGGUUCUAAUAUUGGUUUGGAUUUUUGAGAUAUUAUAUUUAGAUGAUUUUAGAUGAUAUAAAGAUGUUUUCCUUAGCAAAAUCGUGGUUAGAGAAGAUUGGAAUCAUGAUUAUUGGAAAGAAAAAUUUAUAAGUGGUUUACCAACAUUAUUUGUAGAAAAGGUUAGAAUACAAUUAAAAGAUAGAUUUGAGGAGAAAAUUCUUUAUAGUCAUUAAACUUAUGUUGAUAUUAUAAUUUUUAUAAAUUUCAUAGGACUAGAAUUAUGUAUAGCUACUAAACUUAAAAAUCAGCUAAACAGAGACAAUAAAAUAACUAGAAAUAAGCUAGGAAGCUAUAUUAAGUUAUCAGCCCAUUCAAAGGAAUCUACCAAGAAGGUUAAAAGACAAAAUAAAAAUUAUAAAGAUAAAUCUAAAAAAUCUCAUUAUUAUAAAGUACGAUUUAAAAGAUCCAAAAAGAUUCUAAAGGUGAAUUCAAAACCAAUAAUGAAACUUAUUGGAACUGUGGAAAAGGAGGUCAUUGGGCUAAAGAUUAUCCGGUUCCAAAUAAAAAGAAAGACAAGAUAAAUAUGUUGAAUUAGGAAGCAAAGUUAAAGAUAAAUUAUAUUAAAUUAUUGAUUAAAAUGGAAAUAGUUCUUCUUUUGAAGAAAGUCUAAGUGAUGAUAAUCAUCUUAAUGUAGCAUAUAGUUCAAAUAUUAGUGAAUCAACAGACCAUUGUAAUUGUAGCAAUGCAAUUUGCACGUGCGAUACUCAUUCUAUAAAUGUUUUCACCAAUAGUAAAAAAGAAAAACAGAACUUAUUUGACAUGAUUGAUAAUCUAAAUUAUUCAACUCUUAGGAGAAAAUAUUUAAUAGCCUUAUAGGAGAAUGUUCUUAAUCAUCAGGUUGAUAAAGAAACUAUUAAACCCUGUAAUAUGAAAAAUGUAUUAAAUAAAUUUAAAAAACGUAAGUCUGAAACAACAAUGCAGGAUCUUCAGGCUGAAUUAGUAUAUAUAAAAGAAGAAGUUAGACAAUUUAAGCAAAGACUUAACAAUCUAGAAACAGAAUUGAUGAGUGGUGAAUUUACCACUCACUGCCACUCAACAUUCAUGCACACUAGAAUUAUUUGAAUGUCUAAGUAAGAAAUAUCUGUGGUUUAAUGCAUUAAUUCUCAUAUUUUAUAGGUAUACAAAUGUUGAGACGAAAAGAGGCAAAAUGAGAUAAAAAGGAUCAAGUUGGAAGAGAAGUGCAAAAGCUGGAAAACCUAUGCAAACUAGGCCUCAGGCACCGUGAUUGUGGAUUGGACACCUUGAUCAUGGUAAGUCAAGAAGUCAACAAACGACGAUCCCUAGAAGAAUUCAGUGAUCAUGGAGUCGUGAUCACGGUAGAUUCACAUUUGAUUGUGGGAUAGCAGGGUUUUUAGUAAUGGGCAAACUUGUAAAAGCAUAUAGCUGGCCUUAAAUUAACAUUUAAAAGCUCAAAACCCUCAUUUGUUUAGGGUGGCAUCAUUCCAGAACCCUACCACCCAUCCUUAGUUUAGGUUUUUUGCAAUUUCUUGGAACUUGGUGCCUAAUUUGUAUAAAUUUUGAACUAACGGGUUUAUGGAGAUUUAAAGUUUGGUUUGCAUUCGUUUAACAUUAAUGAAUCUACUUAAUGGAAAUCAUGGUUUAUUUUUGUUUAUUUUCUUUAUGAGUUGCUAGCGCUUCCUGUUGGGGUUAUGUUUAAGUAGGGUACAAGUGUGUGGGUUGUGAUGUAUUCGUGUGAAAUUUAGUUUGUGGUUGAUAGGUUUCUCUAUUACUUAGGUUAAUUAGUCUGGAUUUAUAAGUGAAAGCCCCAAAUAUCCAAAAUGGUUUUGAUUGGUUAAAAUCCUAAACUCUAGAAAGCUCAAACCAUCAUUGAAAGAGGGUUUUAUGUAAAAUUUUGGAAACCAUAUCAUCCUUUAAUGAAGGAUGUGGGAACCAAGGCAAUAGUGGAUAAUUUAUUGGCAUAGUUAGCUAAUUCCCACUAUCAUUGACAUAAAGUGAUUAUGAGGUUGACUAUACCAUGGGUAUCAUCCUAGAAAUAGGGAUAUCCAAUUGACGUAUUGGGUUGCUUUAAUUGACACACUCUUUAGGUACUUGAAAGGGUCAAUGAGUGAUAUCUUUGAAGUUUUGUUGAAAAACUAGCAUCAAGCACUUUAAACCUAGCCUACCACAUCAUCAACGAUAGAAUUUGCACCAUAUCAUCAUAUUCCCAUGCAUAGGUUGCCCCAAGGAAAACAUAACCCAAGAUCCAUUCUUAAUUGCUCAUUCUCUAAUUAUUUUUAGUCUUAAAUUAAUCCCAUAGAAGAGCAAGAGUUGACUCACAUUGGAUAAGAUUGAAAACCCCCCAAAAAAUUCUUUAUACUAUAACUUUGAAUUUAGUUAGUAACUUUCAUACUGAACCUAGUAAAUCUCCAAUCACAUUGUUCCUCAUGGAUUCAACCCCGAAUAGUUGGGUAAACAUAUUAACGACGACUGCCUUGCACUUAAAUUGACAUAUAAGUUGAGCGUUACAAAAAAUGGAGUCGUUGUUGGGGAAUAAUUUGAUGUAUUGAGUUAGGUUGGAAUUUUAGUUUACUUGCUUUUAUUCAAACUUAUCAAUAGUUAUUUGUGAUUUUAUUUUGUUUCUUUUGUUAGUUAGGUUCUUUUUUGUAAUUUAGUUGUUAAUAUGGCAUCAUGGAAUGAAUGUGUGUUUAGUGGUUGGAAAUCAUACCUUAAUGAUCCAUGUUUCUAUUUUGGUGGACCCCACUAUUUGUAAGAUUAUCGAUAUGCUCCUCAAAAAGAGAUGAGCGCACUAUAUGGAUCUUAUAGGGAGUAUAGUUAUUCUAUACAUGGUAGUCGAGAUGGACAUUGGAGUGAUUGUCCAAAUUUCCCCUUUCCCUAUUAUAAUAACUUGGUUUCUAGUUCUUCUCAUGAUUUUGAUAGGUAUUAUAUGAAAGAAAGGAAAGAACAAAGCGCAAAAACUAUUGUUGUUGAAGUAAUGCUUCAAUGUAUCUUGGAACGGGUGAAAUCAACAAAGGAUGAUUUAUGACAUUGUAGGGAUUGUGCAUAUUCCCCCUCUCCUUGUUAUUUUAACCCAAAUAAUUGUUCUUAUUAUAGAUUUGAUAGGUUUUAUGAUGAAUAAAGGGAAGAAUAAAGCAUGGGAAAUAGUGGUGUUGAUGCAAUACUUUAACAUAUCUUGGAGUUAACAACAACGGUGGAUGAAGAAGCAACUCUUAUACUCCUAUCCAACAAGGCAUUUGGAGAGGAAAUCUUGAAUAUAGAAUAUCCAAAAAAAGUUAAUCUUUCAAACACCACAACUAUGCCCACUCUUCUAAAUGAUCUUGAUAUUCAAAAACCCUUAUUGAUAUCCCAACCAACUAAACCGAACAUGAGAGAUAAUGCUAAAAAGAAAGAAAUGGUACUACAGUCAAAAGAAGAAGCUAUGUAAAUCCCUUAUGAAGAGUCUAGUCCAUUUCAGUGUGAAGAUGACCAAUGGAAUGCAACUUCGAAAUUAAGAAAAAGGCUUAUUCUGUCCAUUUUUCACUAUUAUGCUUGGUGGAUUUGAUGAAAGUUAAUUCACCUUAUAUUUUGGAGUUUGACUUUCCAAAUGGAUAUGCUAAAUCCCCAAUUUUGAGGGCCAAGAAGCUUAAAGACCGAUGUCUAUGUAGUGACCUUCCAACGCUCUCACCGUUGCCCAUCGAACCCACACAAAAGUUUGAUGUAAAAUUUGGUAAACAAUUCAAGUCUUUAAAUGGCGCGAUCGAGCAUGCAUAACUGUGCCAUUACUUUUUCCCCAAGAGCCUCGGAGAUUGAAGAACUAAAAAAGGGGCAGAAAUUUUAAAUCCUCUAAGUGGAGACACAAAUGAGGAUCAAAGAAGUAUUGUUCCACGAUGUUAAACCAAGUGGUUGAUGCAAGGUAACCGAUCAUUUUCAUGUUUACAUGAAUUAAUUUUAACAAGUCACAAAUUUUUGAUGUUUUGUAGGUACUUUGGGCAGGAUUGGAAGCCAAAAAUAGGGGAAAACCAAGUUUGAGAAGUGUGGCAGACCUACAGAAAAUUGGGUAAAAUAGGGGAGCAAAAUGCCUCAGGUACCACAAUGCAGCUUGAGGAUCGCGAUCGCGAUACCGCGAUCAUGGCAUAUAUACCGUGAUCGCGACAGUCUCUCCAGCCUGCACCUUGGUUAUCACUGUAGUUUUAGGGAGCCCUUAACCCUUCUUAUGCUUUUGUGAUAUUUAGUCAGGUCACUGCAAGUCGUAAAGUUAGGGUUGUGGCCCUACCCUUGUAUGUAUUCAUUAGUUUACAAUACUCGAACUUAGUUCACUCAAAGAAGGAAAAUUUUGUGAAUUAAUUAUUUUUUUGUAGUUGUCUAUUUCUUUUAAUAAUAAUGUUGGAUGAGCCUUUUCAUAUGAUAGAUUGACUGGCAUCAUUCUUAAGGGAAAAGUAUCAUCACUUGGUUUUGAGCCAUGAAUGGAAAGAAAGUCUGAGUACCUGUGGCAUUUGGAAUCACACUCAUGCCAUUGGCAAAGUCUGAGUAUCCAUAUGGUUGGUUUGCCUAUAUGAAACUAAAAUAUGAGACAAAGGCUUGGGUUGUUUCCAUGGUUAUAAAAUUGUGCAUGGUGCAAGUGGAAAGAAAACGCCCUCCUCCAUCCAAAAUUUUUCAAAAAUUAAGGGCAUGGACAUGAGCGGCAUUGUAACAAUUCUUUUUCUCCUUAUGUGACAAAAUUUUUAACUUGUGAAAAUGGGUAAUAUCCCAUUUUGGUCUGUAGUGGGAGGGGCAAUUAAGCCUCAUUGUCAAGUUUGCAUGCCAUGUGUGGUGAGUUAAUUUGUUUACAUCUUAUAAUAACUUAUGACAUCUAUAACUUGCCCCAUUAGCCUUUCAAAUCUAAUUUUGAUUUUAUUUGGUUGGAGAAAUAAGCUUAGGCUAUCUUUGUAACAUUGGAAGCCCACUUAGCCUAAAAAGACUACACAUGCAUAAUUGUAAUUCCUAGUUACCCACUUUGAGCCUUUGAACCUUUCUUUGGAAAACACAUUACAAGUUGUGAACCAUACCCUCCUUGAACUUGAAAAUGUAACUUGAGGCUAAAAUCCUAAGUUGGGGGUUGGAAGAUUAAUGGAAGUAAGUAUGGAGCCACAAAGUUGUUAGUGAAAUGUCUAAGUACCUGAGUGUUGAAAACAAAUUACUAGAAAAAUAAAUGGUUCAACAAAGGAAAGAAUUGCAUAAAAAUUACAAAUUACUAGAAAAAUAAAUGGUUCAACAAAGGAAAGAAUUGCAUAAAAAUUACAAAAAAAAAAAAUAGGAGAAAAUGGGUGAGCAAUGGAAGAAAAAAGUAGGCAUAUGAAAAGAGAGAAAACAAGGAGGAGCGGCCCAUAGUCAAAAAGAUGAAUUAAAAAGUAUGAUGCAUAUGUUCUAUAAAGGGUGUAGUGGUGUUUUUCCCAAAUGAUAUACUACCCUAACCUAAACAUCCGUUACAAGCACAAAAAGUCCUUUGAAGUCUCUCACCAUUUACUUUCUUUAUAGUGGUGAUUGAGAAUAGGGGCGAGCCUAUGGUAUGAUGCUUGUUAACAUAAAGAGUUCCUUUUAGGGAGAGAGUUUUUGCACUUAAAUUCCUAGUUAUAUACUUGGUAGCUUGGCGUAGAAUUUUCUUUCCUAUAAGGAAGCAUGUGAAAAAGUUGAGGUGGGUGAUUUUGUCACCUUCCGAGCACUAAGGAAAAUGGAGUAUAGCUUAGUUUUGGUCAUGAGGGAGUCACUUCUAGAGUAUUGCCUUUUGUUGCUUGGUUGCUCAUUGAAGUCUUUUUCAUCCUUAAAAAUUACGUGUUAUGUUGAGGGGUGAUAUGAAAAUAGUCUUGCCCAUGUUAUAAGAGCUAUUUGUGGUAGUAAUCAAGUUGAAGUCAACAUGAUCAUUUGGGUCAUCUAAUAUGGAAAUAAAAGUGCAUUAUCUCAUGGUUAAAGCUAGGGUUGCUUGAGGACAAGCAAAGCUUUAAGUUGGGGGUGUUGAUGAAUGGUCAAUUUACCACUCAUUGGCAUAAAUGUGGGUAUAUAAAUGCUAAUUCCUAUAUUUAGUAGGUAUAUAAAUGCUAAGACAAAAAGAGGUAAAAUGAGCUAAAAAGGAUCAAAGUGGGAAGAGAAGUUUAAAAACUGGAAAAUAUGUGCAAACUGGGCCUCAGUUACUAUGAUGGUAGAUUGACCACAACGAUAGUGGUAAGUCAAGAAGUCAGCAGGCUACGAUCGCUUGAAGAAUUCAGUGAUCACGGAAGAUUCACAUGCAUACGCGAGAUAACGAGGUUUUCAGCCAAGGGAAAAGAUGUAAAAGCACAUAGACGACCCCAAAUUCCAAUUUAAAAUCUCAAAACCCUCAUUUUUAGGGCGACAUCAUUCGAGAAACCUACCACCCAUCCUUACUUUAGGUUUUUUGCAAUUUUUUGGAGCUUGGUGCCUAAUUUGUAAUAAUUUUGAACUAGGGAGAAAUUAGAGUCGCUUCAAGUGAAGGACUAGCCAAAUCUAUUGUGGAUUUGUGGAGAUUUAAAGUUUGGUUUGCGUUCUUAUUUCUUUAAUGGAUCAACUUAAUGGAAAUCAUGGUUUAUUUAUGUUUAUUUUCUUUAUGAGUUGCUAGCCCUUCCUCUUGGGGUUAUUUUUGAGUAGGGUGCAAGUGUGUGGGUUGUGAUGUAUUUGUGUAUAUUUUAGUUUUAUGAUGAUGGGUUUUAGUUUUUCUUAGGUUGAUUAGUUGGGAUUUGUUGGUGAAAGCCCCAAACACCCAAUAUGGGUUUGAUUAGUGAAAAUCCCAAACUCUAGAAAGCCCAUACCAUUCUUGAAAUAGAGGUUUGGGUAAAUUUUUAAAACCCAUAUCAUACAUGAAAGAGGGAUAUCGGAACCAAGGAAAUAGUGGACAAUUUAUUGGCAUAGUUAGCUAAUUCUCACUAUCUUAGACAUAAGGGUGAUUAUAAGUUUGACUAUACCAUUAGUAUCUUCCUAGAAAUAGGGAUAUCCAGUUGAGUUACUGGGUGGCUUUAAUUGAUACACUCAUUAGGUACUCGAAAGGGUCAAUGAGUUAUAUCUUUGAUGUUUUUUUGAAAAACUAGCUUUAAGAACUUCAAACCAAGCCUAACACAUUAUCGACGAUAGAGUUUGCACCACAUCAUCAUGUUCCAUGAAUAUGUUACCCCAAGGAAAGCAAAACCUAAGAUCUGUUCUUAAUUGUUCACGCUCUAAUUAUGUUUAGUCUCAAAUUAGUCCCCUAGAAUCCCAAGAGUUGACUCCACUUUCAGAUAGAAAACCCCCAAAAACUACUUUGUACCAUAGGUUUGAAUUUAGUUAGUAACUUUCAUUCCAAACCUACUUAAUUGCCAUUCAUAUUGUUCCUCGUGGAUUCAACCCCGACUCCUAGUUGGGUAAAUAUAUUGAUGAUGAUCUCCUUGCACUUAAAUUGUUGUGUAAGUUGAGCGUUAUCAAGAAUCACUUGAUAAUAAAAUAUUAAAAGAUUUAACGUCUAACCAAGACCCUAAAUCAUAUCUAUUUGUGCUUGGUGAAACAACAAAAGUAAAAAGUGAUAAUAGAGAAAUAGUCUCUAGACAUAGAAUUUCUAGACAAACCUCCUAUAAACAAAUCAGUAAUAAAUACAAUUACAAUAGUUAAAGCACAAAGUUACCAUACGCCAACUACUGGAGUUAUCAAUAAAGAUAAUAAAAUUCAUAAGAUUACAUUAUUUGACACAAGUGCUGAUGAAAACUGCAUUAUAGAAGGAUUAAUUCCUAUAGAGUACCUAGAAAAAGGUGUUACACGCUUAUUUUACAUAACAGGAGAAUGAUUAAAAAUAAAUUAUAAACUCCUCAGAGAAUAUAUUUGCAACGACGGAGUUUUUUUUAUUAAUGAUUUUGUAAUAACUAAAGAUAUUAAUAAAGAGAUAAUAUUUGGUCUUCCUUUUAUAACUCAAAUAAAACCUUAUGUUGCCGAGCUAGAUGGCAUUCACACCACUUUUUGGGGAAAAAAGAUUAUUUUUUCCUAUCUAAAUGGCAUAUCAAAAAAAGAAAGUGAUUUUAUAAAAGAUCAAACUAUCUUCAGGAUAAACUUUCUACAGAGUCCAACAAACAUUAAAAAAUUAGAAUUUUCGCUAGGAAAAAGUAGAAAUCCACAAAAAAUCAUAGAACGAGAGGUUUGUUCCAAUGAAACUCAGUCACAAAGGUUUCUUAGAGAUCUCAACUUUGUUGUAAAUCUUAUAUUCUUAUUAGUAGAUGGGUUUGUAGGAUUCAUCUUAAGAAAAAUUUAGUCCUGUGAGGAUUAGAGAAAGACUAAUCUGCUAUUAAAAGAAAAUUUUAUGAUAUUAUGAAUUAUCAAAUUUCAAAAAUUCUUUGAAAAUAGCCAAAACUAUUUUAGAAAAGAUGUCAAAAGUUGAUUUUAAAUGGAUUUUAUAAAGAGAGAAAUUCUCUCCAAAAAUUUUAAGAUCUUUCAACAGGGAAAUAAUGAAAUCCGGAACACCUAGAACAAAGAUGAGGCCUUCAUUCAAGUCUUUUCGACCAGAAAAAAAUUAAAAGACCCUUCAACGAAGAAGAUAAAAGGACAGAAAAUAGCUAUUUAGUCUUGGCAUAAUUUCCAUCUCUGUCAAAGCCUACCAUUUGCCUAAAAUUAAAAGAAUCUAUUACCAUUUUACCCAAAAUACAACCACUUAAAUAAAUAUUUAAUAAAGAAUUCUUGUCGUCGGCCAAUAAAAAUAUUGCUAUCGAAACCAAAGAUAACUACACGAUUAAACCACCAGAGACAUACUCAUAGGAAGUCUCCCCAACCACUCCACAAAAGAAGAAAGAACAAGUAUUACUGAUAAGGAGUAAUUUGAGAUAAUAUAUUUGAAGGUACUACCAAUGAUGGCAUGUAAUACCCCAAACUUUCUUUAAGUCAAAUCUAGUCUCCAGAAGAGUUUGUGAUGACUUUCUAAAUAAUUAAUGUUUAAAUCAGAUAUAAUUUCCAUAAUUUUGACUUUUCAUCAUGUGAAAAAUUGAAUUAGCUUUCCAACGAUACCAAUUUCAUCCUAAUCCGGUAUCGGAGUAAAUGGUUAUGGACGUUUUAUACAGAACUGUCGAAACUGCCCAGAAGCAACGGUCUGGCUGACAGCCCGUUGAGCUAGCGAUGGACUAGCACCCAAGCCAUCGCAACUAAGGCAGUGAAACCAACUUUUGGUCAAGUACAAUGGUCAGGACCGAUGGACUGUCGAGCUAGCGAUGGACCAUCUCACAAACCAUCGCAGACAAGAUAGGAAAUUCAGGUUUUGGCUAAGUACGACGGUCAGGCCGGUGAACCAUCAAGCCAAUGACGGAUCGUCACCCAAGAUAUCGUGACUAAGGAAGUCAACCUAUCUUUUGGCCAAGUACGACGGUCAUGACCGACGGAUCUUCGAGCCAGUGACGGACCGUCACCCAAACCGUUGCUACUUUCGAUCAGCAAUUUUAAGUCAUUUUUAAAAGGGUAUUUGGGUCUUUUUCCACCCUUUUUAACCGCUAAGUAUACCAUACCAGAGCUCAUAACUUCAUUAUUUAUCCACAACACCAAAUUAGAUUUCUCUCAAAGAUCAAUCUCCAAGAACAAAAAACCCUAAUUGUUUAAUCCCAAGUCAAGAAUUCAAGCUUUCCUCUACCAAUCUUCAAGAAAUCAUCCACCCGGGUAUGUAAAGUGUUGAUUCAUGGGUUUCUUUCACCCAUGAAGCUCAAGAAUCCCAUUUUAAACUCAUGAAUUGUGAUUUCCAAUUGGUGAGUUGAUUGUAAUUAUGUUGAUGUGGUUGUAUGAAUCCCAAGUUGGAGUCUUUAUGUACUUUUCAUGAAAUUAUACUAGUAUGUGUGUUUGGAAAAUUUUAAAUUGAGUUGAUUAAAGUAACCAUGAUGUAUGAACUAGUAUAUAUGCCUAAGCCUAAGGUUUUGCAUGCAAUGUGUUUAAUAAAAUGCCCAAAAGAAUAAGAAUCAUGCUUUAGGACUAUGUUAUGACCAAAUUGAUGAACCCAUACUUUACCCUUAUGUUCAAAAUGACUUCCAUGUUAUUGUUAUGCAUUGAAAUUUUUUUAUAGAUUGUUCAUGAGAUUAUUCCUAUGAAAUUAUGUCAUGUUUAUAUGCAUUUCUAUUCAUAUACCAACACAUGAUAAUCAAGUGCCUUAUUAAAUUCCCCAAUGAUUGUAUUAUAGAUUGUUGAUUAUGGUCAUGAGUCCAAGAAGCGUCAUGUCUUGUCAGUUUCAUGCUAUCGAGUCCUAGGGGUACUUGUACCCGACAAUUUAGCUGUGCCUAGAGCUAGUGUCAUUUUUCAAGAUACUCUCAGUCAAGCCAUGUUCAGUAGAAUUCAGUCAGUCUCAUAACUCAGGAAAACUCAGUAAUCUCAAUCAGUUAUUAGAUCUCAGUAAUAUUUCAUCAGUCAACGGAACUUAGUGAACUCAGUCCAGUCAGUUCAGUAUAAUUAAUUUAGUGUCUAAUCAAAUAGGAGUAGAAUUCAGCAUCGAGUUAGCCUAAGAAUGGGAAAUCACCUGCAAGUAGAGAGUCUGAUUCUUAGAAAUAAUCCUUGCACUCCAGAACUACAUAGCCAUCAUAGGUUAAGACAUCUAAACAGUUAGAUAAGGUUUGAUGAGGUGAUUUAACCAAUUAGAUGAGGGUCCCACCAUUCUCUUUAGAGUACCUGUUAGAUGAAGGAUUACUCAUAGCUUGUCCUUACCAGUGGUGCGGUAUUGACACCUUCCAAUUGGGGUUACAGAUUGGACCCUAACUUAAUUAUAUUAUCUCAUUUUGGGCAUAUCGGUUAGAUGACUACUUCCCACAGUUACAGUCUCAGUCUCAAUCUCAGUAAUAGAACUCAGAUAGUUUUACAUAAUUCAGGAUUGUCGAUACAGUCACCCAGUUCAGUACAGAACUCGUCUAGUUUCAUCAAAAAUAGGAUUUUUAGACAUAGUCAUUCAAAUAAUAGUAUAUCAAUUAUACAAAACAUAGGUUAUCAGUUAUAGUUCACUUAUUCAUGUAUGUAUUCUCACGUUCAUGUAAUUCAAUCAGUUAGCAUUGUUCAUGCAUAUAAACCCCUUGCAUUUAGCCUAUCUCACUUGUAUAUCAGUACAUUCAGUCGUACUGACAUAUUUUUGCUAUGUUAUUUUGUACCAUAGGUUCAUAAGCAUGAAACUAGAGCACCCUUAGUAGAUCAGACGUUCAGCAGACAGACUAGCAGUGAUUCCUCAUCAUUCGAGGAUGUUAUUAUUUGAUUAUUUCAUUCUUUUAGUGCUUAGUUUAUUUCAGCAGUUAGAGUUAGUUAGGGACAUAUCCCAUCAACUCCUCAUUCAGAUAGUUUAGAGGCUUUCAAACUAUAGCAUGUUCAGACAGUUAUUUUAGUUUUGUUUCAUAUUGAUAUACCAUAUUUUGAGAUGUUAUGUUUUAUCAGAUAUUUGAACCUUACGGACUUUUAGCCUUUUUCUGCUUUUAUACAGUAUAUUAUGCAGUGCCCAGUUACAAAUAUCAGUCAUGGGUUAGCUUGUGGUCCUUUGGCAUAAUGAGAACCAUGUAGCAUUUUGGGUACCAGAUUCGGGACAUUACAUGGCACUUGAUAAAAAAUGUGUAAUUUUUUGAGUGCCGAAAUUGUUAAAAACUUGUUAUACAAAUUAGGAUUAUGUGGAGACAGAUGAUCCCCUCAAAACCAUAAGGUAAUAUAAGUUUAUUUUAAUAGAUACUGAUUCGUUGCAAAUUGAGCAUAAGUUAGAAGAUAUAAACGAUCCCAAUAGUAUUCUAUACUUAAAGUUAACAAUUAAAAGGAUAUUAGGUCCAUUUUAUCAAGAACUUUUCUACCUCAAAUAUAUAAUUGGUAUGAUUAUAACGUGGCCUAGUAUAAUUUUAUGUAUGUUAGGCCUAACACGCACUCCUGGUUCAUUAAAUAUUUAGAGCAGAUAAAGACUGUUGUAAUUUCCCAAUGGUUCUAUGAUUAGUGGAGCCAAUUUGGAGGAUAUUAAAAGGUAUUGUCAAAACAAUUUCAAAAGUAAUUUGAAAAGUAUUAGGUAGAGGAAAAUAUCUCUGCAUUGCCAGAUAAUGUUAAAUAGUGAAAAUUAUUAAUUGCAAAAAGAAAUUCUUAUAUUAUCUAUUGGUCCAUUGAUAUUCAUGAAAUUGAAAGGAUCAAAUAUUUAAGUAAGACUAUCAAGAUUAAAUAUGGAGUCUAACAAAUAAACCAGCAAAAAGUUAAUCCUCAAGCAAGGAAUACACCUUUCCUAAGAAGAAUUAAAAAGAAGACUCAAAGAAGCCUUGUAAAGUCUAGAUAAUAAGAAAGAUUCAAAGUAGAUAAUGAAAUUAUUAGAUACUAUAUCUGCACAUUCUAUUGAACCUAGCAACAGUGACAUGAUGGAUCCGUAAGGGAUAGCAUAGGCAUACCUCCUCAAUUAAAAGAAAGGUCCCAGCAUUUUUUCAAAAUUUUAAAAUCUACUAGAUGGACCCUAUAGACAAAAUGAAGACUCGAAGAUAAAUGGCACAAAUAUUCAAGGAAUAAAAAGCCAAAAUCUUCUCAAAAUCAUCAAAAGAUGCAUGAUCAAGAUAAAAAAUAUGGUCAGAGACAAUUGCAAAACAAAUAAAUAGUCAUCAGCUACUCUUAGACGGGUGUAGAAUAAAUAACAUACAUUAAUAUGUGACCAGAUGUAAAAUAGAUAGUGUAUGUUAGAUAUUAGUCAGCACUUUUGAGGACUAUUUAUGGAUUUCAACUUGUAAUAGAGAGAUCAUUCUGAAAUUUUCACAACUCAGAAAAACUCUCUACCACUUUCCCAUAUUUCCCAUCUUUCCUCUGUAAUCUCUCGACAUUUCACAAAUCAAUAAAAAGUUUUGUAAGUAUAAAUUUCUCUAUUUCUCUACUGUUUUAAUUAAUUUUUCAUUACUUUUAUUUUGUUCUUCUAAAGUUAAUUUCAAAGUUUAAUGUACUUUCAAAGUAUAACUACUUUAUAUACUUUGCUAAACUACUUUAAAUUGUUACUUUGCUCCCCGUUUUUCCGAUCCAUCCCCUAAAAGAAAAAAUUAUUAAAACUGUAAAGAAAUUUAUACUUACAAAACUUUUUAUUAAAGAACCUCAACUUUUUUAAGAUAGAAACUUAGAAAUAUUAUCAAAUUUUUCUUGUCCAAAGUUAGAUGAUUUUAGAUGGCAUAAAGAUGUUUUUCUCAACAAAGUCAUGGUUAGAGAAGAUUGUAAUCAUGAUUAUUUGAAAGAAAAAUUUUAUAAGUGGAUUACCAAUAUUAUUUGCAGAAAAGGUUAGAACAAAACUAAAAGAUAGAUUUAAGGAAAAAAUUCCUUGUAGUCAUUAAACUUAUAGUGAUAUUAUAAGUUUUGUUAAUGAUGAUAUUACAAGUUAUAUAAUAUCCAGAUGGAUCCAUAGACUUAGAAUUUCUAAGAUCCCAGUCUUUUAAUCAAGCAUCUUCAAGUAGAAAAAUGUCCUUGUCUAGACCACCAGUCUUCGAAUUUGUAGAAAAAAGGAAGUAAUAUUAGAAGAUAUUUAAAGAAAAUUAAAAGGAGUAGAUUUCUCAAAAACAAUUCCCAAAGUAGAAUAUGAAUCUAGAAAUUUAAAGACUAAAAAAUCAGUAAGUCCCACUGCUAGUGAAAUGAUAGAAGUAAAAGAUUCUCUAUGCAUGAUUAGGUUAGAUGAAAUAUUUGAACCUGACUUUGAAUAUUUAGAUAAAUUAUGGAAUAGCCCAGAAAAUUCUAUUAAAAAGGAAUGGUACAAACAAUGAUAUUCAUUUAAAGAAAGAUAUUCUUUUAGAGAAAAAUGGUGCAACGACAUGAAAAGAUUGAGAUGAAAUAUUGAUUUCUUUUAGUGGUUUUAAAUUACAGAAAAACUUAGAUAAUCAAAAUAAAUUUUUAAAUAUGAUUGUUAAUAAAUGGUAUACUAUUGAUAAAGUUAUAGAAUCAGUAAUUCCUCUAUUAAAAGAAAUUAGUCUACCAGUAGAUGGCGGAAUUGUUAUUGCUUAACCUUUAAAUUAGAUAUAGUAAAUACUAAAGGUGAUCCUAAAAAUAAGAAUAUAAAUAGAAUACUUCAACAAAAUAAUUAGACAAACCAACUACUACAUAUAGUUUCUAAACAGAUUAUGAUAUUAGGAAUUAUCAAAUUUCAAAAAUUAUUUGAUAACAUCCAAAACUAUUUUACAGAAGAUGUCAAAAUUUGAUCUUUAAUUAAUUUUAUAAAGAGAGAAAUUCUCUCCAAAAAUUGAACAAUUUUUUUUUUACGGGAAAUAAUGAAAUCCAAAAUAUUAGGAAUGAGGUUAAGGCUUACAUUCAAGGGUUUUUUAUCAGAAGGAAAAAUGAAAAGACCCUUUAACGAAGAAGAUAAAAGGUUAGAAAAUAGAUACUCAAUCCUGAUAGAAUUUCCAUCCCUGUCAAAGGUUACCAUUAAAAUAAUCUAUUACAACUUUACCCAAAAUGCAACCACUUAAAUAAAUAUUUAAAGAAGAAUCCUUGUCCCCAGCCAAUAAAAAUAUUACUAUCCAAACCAAAGAUAGCUACAUAAUGAAACCACCAGAGAUAUACUCAUAGGCAGUCUCCCCAGCAACUCCGCAAAAGAAGGAAGAACAGAGUAUUUCUAACAAAAAGUAAUUUAAGAUAAUAGAUUUGCAGGUACUUCCAAUUCUGUCACUUGAUAAAAAAUAUAAAAGUUUUUUGAGUACCAGAGUUGUUAAAACCUUGUUAUACAAAUUAGGAUUAUGCAGAGAUAAAUGAUCCCCUCAAAAACCGAAGGUACUAUGAGUUUAUUUUAAUAGAUACUGAUUCUUUGCAAAUUGAGCAUAAGAUAGUAGAUAUAAAUUAUCUCAACAGUAUUCAAUGCUCGAAGUUUAAAAUUAAAAGGAUAUUAAUCCUGUUUGAAAGGUAUGUAGAUAAUCUACAUACACCUAUUCCUCAAUCAAGAAAUUAUCGACCUCAAGUAUAUAAUAGGUAUGAUUAUAAGAUGGUGUGAUAAAAUUUUAUGUAUGUUAGGCCUAGCACUCACCUCUAGUUCAUUAAAUACUAAGAGCAGAUGAAGACUGUUGUAAUUCUCUGAUGGUUUUACAAUCUGUGGAGACAAUGUUGAGGAAAUAUAUAGGUAUUGUCAAAAUAAUUUCAAAAGUUGUUUAAAAAUUUCUAGGUAGAGAAGAAUAUUUCUACAUUGUUGGAGAAUGUUAAAUAGUGUAAAUUAUUUAUUGCUAGAAGAAUUUCAUAUAUUAUCUAUUGGUCCUUUGAUAUUCAUGAAAUUGAAAGGAUCAAAUAUUUAUGUAAGACUAUCAAUAUUAAAGGAUGAAGUCUAACAGAAAAACCAACAACAAAUUCAUCCUCAUGAAAGGAAUCACAACUUUCCAAAUAAAAAAUCAAAAGAAGACUCAAAGAAGCCGUUUUAAGUAUAGAUAACAAAAAUAAUUCAAAGUAGAUAAUGAAAUUAUUAGAUACUGUAUCUUCACAUUCCAGUGAGCCUAGAAACGGUGACAUUAUGGAUCCGCAAGGGAUGACACAGGCAUACCUCCUAAAUUAAAAGAAAGGUGCCAACACUUCUUCAAAAUUUGAAAAGCUACUUUCUGGACCCAACAGACAAAAUGAAGACUAGAAGAAAAAUAGUACAAACCUUCAAGGAAGAAAAAACUAAGAUUUUCUCAAAAUUAUCAAAAUACACAUGAUCAAUUUUAAAAAAAUGUUCAGAGACACAUGCAGAACAAUUAAAUAGUCAUUAGCUACUCCUAGACAGGUAUAGAAUAAAUAACAUAUAUUAGUAUCUGAACAGAUGUAAAAUAGAUGGUGUCUAUUAGAUUUUAGUCAGAACUUUGGAGGCCUAUUUAAGGCUUUCGACUUGUAAUAGAGAGAGCAUUCUAAAAUUUUCACAACACAAAAAACCCUCUACCACUUUCUCAUAUUUUCCAUCUUCCCUCUGUAAUCUCUACAUUUUCUAAAUCAAUAAAAAAUUUUUCUAAGUAUAAAUUUCUCUGCUAUUUUAUUUAAAUUUACUUUAUUUGGGGGAUGGAUCAGGAAAACAGAGAGCAAAGUAACAAUUUAAAGUAGUUUACCAAAGUAACAAUUUAAAGUAGUUUAUACUUUAAAAGUACUUUAAACUUUGAAAUUAACUUUAGAACAACAAAAUAAGAACAAAAUAAAAGUAAAGCAAAAUUAAUAAAAAUAGUAGAGAAAUAGAGAAAUUUUUACUUACAAUUUUUUUAAUUGAUUUGGAAAAUGUAGGGAGAUUAUAGAGGGAAGAUGGAAAAUAUCAGAAAGUGGAAGAGAGCUUUUCUUAGUUGCGGAAAUUUCAGAAUGCUCUCCCUAUUACAAGUUGGAAGCCUUAAAUAGACCUCAAAAGUUCUGACUAAUAUCUAGCAAACACUAUCUAUUUUACAUCUAUUCAUACACUAAUAUAUGUUAUUUAUUUUACAUAUGUCUUGGAGUAGCUGACGACUAUUUAUUUGUGUUGGACGUGUCUCUUACUAUUUUCCAUCAUUAUAUUGAACAUCUGUCUUUAAAUGAUUUUGAGAAGCCUUUGGAUUUUUCUUCCAAAAAAUAUUUGUGAAAUUUGUCUUCUAGCCUUCAAACUUUUAUUUGUGGGGUCCACCAAUAGCUAUUUUAAGAUUUUAAAGGAGUGCUGAUAAUUUGUUUUAAAACUUUUGUCAAUGGUGUCCACCAGUAGCUAUUUUUAGAUUUAGAAGUAUUUGUGGCAAUUUCUUUUCAAACUUUUGUCUUUGGGGUCCACCAGUAGCAAGUUUUAGAUUUUGAAGAAGUACUGGCAAUUUUUUUUCAAACUUUUGCCAUAUGGGGUCCACCUGUUGUUAUUUUCAUGUGACUCAAUCAUGUGAUUAAUUAAUAUAAGAAGGUUGGACUGUGUAUUUUGAUAGAUUAUAGAGGAUUUUGAAUUUAGGAAUCUUGAUCAUGUGCUUUGCCAUAUGCAUUUGAUGAAUUUUGAAAGUACUUCAUAUUCUGCAUGUCUUGCAAAUAUGUCAUGUUCUUCGGCAAGUGUCUUUUAGUAUAUCAAUCCUUUCAGUUGUAGAAGAAGUGCUAUUAUAUCUCUGUUGUUGAAGAUGUAGUAUCUAGUAAUUUUAAUAUUUUCUUUGAAAGGUGAAAUUCCUUUCUUAAGGAGAACAUUUCUGAUGAUACACAUCUUUUAAUGUUUAAAUCUUUAGAAAAACUAAUAUAUAAAAAUCAUUUUCUCUGAUAGUGUAGAGAUGUCAUGCCUUAUCUGAAAUUCUGUAAAUUUAUCUAUGAAAAAUGAGAGAAAUUAUCGUGAUAAUCUUUUAUUGCAAGAUAUAAUUUUGUCACUAUAAACUUAUUGUUUCAAUAGAGAAAAUUUGUAAUUUUAAAGUUCUCCAAAAAAAAUGUUUUUAUUAUUACGUCAAUGAAAGGUUUUGGCGGAAAUGAAACUUUUGCCAAUAUUUGUUUUUGAAGCUUUAUAUAGUCUUUGAAGAAUUUUUCUUUUAUGGGGACUCAACGAUCUUAUGUUCAUCAUUUCGGGUUUCACUAUUUCCCUGUAAAAAUUCUCUAGUUAAUAAAUCUAGGAAAGAAUUAUUUUAUCCCUCUUUAAAUUCUAUUUAAAAAUCAAACCUAGAUAAUAAAGCUUGUCAUCUAGUAAAUAUCUGUUUAGAAAUUAAAUUUUUAACAUCUUUGGCUGCUUUGCAAUAUGCUCUUAGUAAAAACCCUUUAUUUAUUAAAUUAUUUUGAAAUUUAGGAAUACAUAGUAGUAUAGCCAAAAUUUCUUUUCUAAUAGUACUAUAAUUCUUUUAAGUAUCAUUCCAGAUUUCUGACACGAAUCAUACUAAUUGUUUAGUGGACUCCAUGGAAAUUCUCUAAUUAAGAAUUACUGUAUAUCCUAUGUCUGAGGCAUUGAUUUAUAUAAUUAUAAGAGCGUCUGGAUGCAAUAUCCCUAGAUAUGAAAGUUUUUGAACUAUUGAUUGUAUUUUUUGAACAGUAUUAGUGUGCUCUAUUCCCCAAGGCCUUGGUUUUUUCUUAAGACACUGGUGAAGAGGCCUACAAACCUGUCUAAUAUUAGGAAUAAAAUCUUCAAUAUAGUUGAGACUUCCUAAGAAUCUUUGAAGCUGAGUUUUAUUAGUUAAUUUAUCUGAAAACUUAGAGAAAAAUUCUAUAGCUCUACAAAUGGGUUUAUAAGUUCCUUCAUAUAAGUCAUGACUAAGAAAUCUAAUAGUGGUUUGGAAUAAUUUAAUCUUUUAACACUAACUACUAAUUCAUUUUGUCUAAAAAUAUUUAAAAAGGUUUAGAGAUGUUUAAAGUAUUGGUCAAUGUCUUCUGAAAAUAUUAAAAUAUCAUCUAUUUAGACUAUUGAUAUAUGACUAUAUUGAUUGAAUAUAUUAUUCAUAAUAUUCUGAAAUUCAUAUGGAGCAGUUUUUAGUCCAAAUGACAUUGCAUUUUAUUCAUAUUGUCCAAAAGGAAGAUUUAAGGCUUUUUUAUAUUUAUCUUUUUCUGUGAUUUGUAUUUGUCAAAAUCCUGAUUUCAUUUCAAACUUGCUAUAAAUAUUAGUUUUAUAAGUUCUUUUAAGAAUGUUGCGUUUGUUAGGUAUUGGGUAUCGAAUCCAUUUUAAUACUUUGUUAUGAGGUUUAUAAUUGAUAACUAGCCUUGAGGCACCUCUUUCCUUUUCAUCACUAUUAUUGACAUAAAAGGUUGAAUAACUCCAAGGCAAUUUAGAAGGUCUAAUAAUUUUUUUAUCUAAUAAAUCAUUAAUUUCCUUUCUAUAAUAUUCCAUUAAGUCAUGGUUCAUUUAAAUGGGUCUUGCUUUGGUUGGAAUAAACCUUUCACCAAAUUCCUCAAUACAGGGUAAUUCAUAAAUAUGCCUUUUUCUUUCCUAAAGGGCAUAAGAAAAAUCCGAGCAAACUCCCACUCUAUGACUUUUUGAAGACUUUUAAUUUUUUCUUCUAGUUCCUAGGUUUUUAAAGAGGAUUCAAUACUUUUAGUUUUAUAUUUUCUUUUAAAUAAUUUAUUUGUUGUUAAAUUAGAUUGACUUAAAAGACAGUUCUAUUUUUUAUAAAGUUACUUUCUUCUUUUGAUAAACUAUUUAGAUAAGAUAAAAUAAUCCUUUUUCUGAAGAUAGUGGUGUGGAUGCCAUCUAACUCGGUAAUAUAAGGUUUUAUUUGAGUUAUAAAUGGAAGGCCUAUAAUUGUCUCUUCUUCCAUAUCUUCGGUUAUUACAAAGUCACUUAUGAAACAAUUUCCAUCAUUUCAUAUGUGUGCACUGUGUAGUUUAAAAUUUAUUGUUAAUGCACUGUGUAGUUUAAAAUUUAUUGUUAAUCUUUCUCCUAUUGUAAAGAAUAAUUUUGUGGUAUUUUUUCAAGGUACUUAGUGUGGAUCGUUCCUUCAAUGAUGUAGUUUCGAUCGGCUAUUGUAUCUAAUAAUGCCACUUUGUGAAUUGUGUAAUUUUUAUUUAUAACUAAUGUAAGGGGUACAUGAUAACUUUGGGCUUAAUCUUUUGUAAUUUUUUCAAUUUUUUAUUUAUUUUUUAGAAACUUAAUGAAUUUAAUAUUCGUUUCUAUUUUUAAUGUUUCUCAAAGCUCUAAUUGAUAUGAUUUUGGUUCAUGAUUAGAUGUUAAAUUGUUAGCAAGUGAUUUAUUACGAUGUCCUUGCUUAACUUUUAUAGCUUCCCUUUUUAAGUAUUUGUAAUUCCGUUUGAAGGUUUUGUAUUGUUGUUUCUGAUUUUUAUUCUUUAAAUUUAUUUUCUAUAUCUUUCAUGUUAGAGGGUUUAAUUGUUUCUCUAUCAAAUUGUUGAUUAAGAACAAUAUCUUUUAAGGCUAUUAAAUAUUUUUUCUUAAGGGUUGGGUCUUCCAAAUGAUUGAUUGUAUCAUAUAAGACUUUCUUCUUCUUAUUACUAUUGGUAAUAACAUUUAUAGAACGUAUACCAGUGCAUGUACAAUGAUUAGCUAAUUUAAAUUUUUUUUUUUGAAGAAAAGUUGUUUUCAUUUUCUUCAAAGAUACAACAUAAUUUAUUAUUCAUUUAUUCUCUUAGUUCUAAGAGAUUUAUCAUGCCUUUGUUUUUAUCUAGGACUCUGCACUCUUUAGUCUUAGGUCCUAUUUCUUCAUAGUUCAAACACAUAAUAUUAUUAUCCAUAUUAUUAGUGGGUUUUGAUUGAGAUUCUAGUUUCUUAUAAUUUCUUCUUAUAAUGUCAUUUGUGACUUUUAAUUCAGAUUUUAAUCUUUCAUUAAUUUUUCUUAAAAUAUCAUCUGUUACUUCAAACAUUUCUUCAAAUUUUGAAAUUUUAUCUUUUGAGAAUCCAAGUAAUUUAAAUAUUGGGUGAGUUUCCAACUUUUUUUCAUGAUGAGAAGAACUUGGUUUAUCUUUGAAAGUUUAUUUAUUCUCGGCUUGAAGAAUUUGUUUAGAAACUAUAUGUAGCAGUUGGUUUGUGUAAGUAUUUUGUUGAAGUAUUCUAUUUCUAUCCUUAUUUUUAGGAUCAGCUUUAAUAUAUACUAUAUCUAAUUUAAAGGUUAAGCAGUAAUAAUUCUACCAUCUACAGGUAGACUAAUUUCUUCUAAUGGAGGAUUACUGAUUCUAUAACUUUAUCACUAGUAUACCAUUUGUUAACAAUCAUAUUUAAAGAUUCAUUUUGAUUAUCUAAUUUUUUUGUAAUUUAAAACCACUAAAAGAAUUCAUUUUUACAUCUUAAUCUUUUCAUGUCGUUGCACCAUUUUUUUCUAAAAGAAUAUCUUUCUUUAAAUGAAUAUCUUUGUUCAUACCAUUCCUUUUUAAUAAAAUUUUUUGGGCUAUUCCAUAAUUUAUCUAAAUAUUCAAAGUCAGGUUCAAAUAUUUCAUCUGACCUAAUCAUGCAUAGAGAAUGUUUUACUCAUAGCAUUUCACUAGCAGUGGGACUUACUGAUUUUUAAGUCUUAAAAUUUCUAGAUUCAUAUUAUACUUUGGGAAUUGUUUUUGAGAAAUCUACUCCUUUUAAUUUUCUUUCAAUAUCUUCUAAUAUUACUUCCCUUGUUCUACAAAUUUGAAAACUGAUUGUAUUGAAAAGGACAUUCUUCUACUUGAAGAUGCUUGAUUAAAAGACUGGGAUCUUAGAAAUUUUAUGUCUAUAGAUCCAUUUGAAUAUUAUAAAACUUGUUCAAUAUUUGAAUUUUCUUCUUCAAUUUCUGGCUCCGUUAUGACGUUGAAAUGCCAAUCAUCUUUUAUAAGGACAUUAUCUCAUUUUAUCAUUUUUAGGACAAAGGUAUUAUAUGAUUAUGAUUAGCUUCCAUAAGCAUGGUAGCUUCUUUAUUACUAACUAUUUAUGCCUUAGGGGCUAAGUUUUUUUUCAUUAAAUUAUAAUAUACUCUAUUUAUUAUUGUCAUUUCUCUUGUAUUUACCUUACUAUUCGUGUUUUUUGUUUUAACAUUUAACGCUAUGUUAUCCAUAGCAUUUUGAUCAUUAAUAUCUAUAGAAAACUUAGGAUAACAAUUAAAGUAUACCAGGUCAUUAGCAAGGUUACUUUGUAAUACUGCUAAUAAAGAAUCAUCAAAGUUUAAUAGUCUAUUAUCUAUUAAAAGUAGAUAUUUAGGUACAUCUAAACCUAAUCUAUUUAAUGGUUUAACUGCUACUUGAACUAAACCUACGUGAAGGAACUUGUAAUUUUUUUUAUAUCUAUUAAUAUCUUCAACAGCUAAUAAUUUAAUAGUCUUAAUUUUUUUAUUAAUUGCAAGAGUAGAUUCAGAAGUUUUAAUAUUAUAAUUUUUUGCAAAAUCAAAGUGUCCAAUUUUAUUGGCUCGAUUAAAACUUUCUUUUGGAAUAUUCCAAUUCUAUAAAUCAUUGUCUAUGCGGUCCACUAAUAGCUAUUUUUAGAUUUUGUAGGAGUGCUGACAAUUUAUUUCAAAACUUUUGCCUAUAGGGUCCACAGACAGAUAUUUUUAUGUGUCUCGAUCAUGUGAUUGAUAAAUAUAAGAAGGUUGACAUGUGUAUUUUGAUAGAUUUUAGAGGCUUUUGAAUUUAGGAAUCUUAGUCAUGUGCUUUUUCCUAUGAAUUUGAUGAAUUUUGGAAGUACUUCACAUUCUGCAUGUCCUGAAUAUAUGCCAUAUGCUUGGGCAGGUGUCUUUUAGUAUAUCAAUCCUUUGAGUUGUAGAAGAAGAGCUAUUAUAUCUCUAUUGCUGAAGAUGUAAUAUCUAGUAAUUUCAAUAUCUGCUUUGAAAGGUGAAAUUCCUUUCUUAAGGAUAACAUUUUUGAUGAUACAUGUCUUUUAAUGUUUAAAUCUUUACAAUAACUAAUAUAUAAAAGUCAUUUUCUCCGAUAGUGUAGAGAUGUUGUGCAUUCACUGAAAUUUAUCUAUUGAAAAAUGUGAGAAUUUAUCGUAAAAAUCUUUUAUUGGAAAAUAUAAUUUUGUAGUUUCACUAAAAAAUUAUUGUUUCAAUAAUUUUUUUUUGUAACUUUCAAAUUCUCCAAAAAAAAUGCUUUUAUUAUUAGCUUAAUAAAAGGUUUUGGUCGAGAUGGAACUUUUGCCAAUAUCUAUUUUCUAAGCCUUAUCUUAUCUUAGAAGAAUUUUCCUUUUAUGGGGUCACAAUGAUUUUAUUUUCACCAUUUUGGGUUUCAUUAUUUCCCUGUCAAAGUUCUCUAGUCAAGAAAUCUGGGAGAGAAUUAUUUUAUCCCUUUACAAACUCUAUUUGAAAAUCAAAACUAGAUAAUAAAGCUUGUCCUCUGACAAAUAUCAGUUUAGAAAUUAAAUUUUUUAACAUUUUUUGCUAAACAUCUUUGGCUGCAUUGCCAUCUACUCUUAGUAAAAAUCCAUUAUUGAUUAAAUCAUCUUGAAAUUUAGUAAUACAUAUUACUAGAGCAAAAAUUUCUUUUUUAAUAGUAAUAUAAUUCUUUUUAGUAUCAUUGCAAAUUUCCAACGUGAAUCUUACUAAUUAUUUAGUGGAAUCUUGGAAAUUCUUUGUUUAAGAAUGCCUCUCUAUCCUUUAUCUGAGGCAUCGGUUUCUACAAUCAUAAGAGCAUCUAGAUGCGGUAUCCCUAGACAUAGAAGUUCUUGAGCUAUUAAUUUAAUUUUCUAAACUAUUUUUGUAUAUUCCCCAAGUUACUGAAUUUUUUUAAGACACUAUAAAAGAGGCUUACAAACCUUUCUAAUAAUAGGAAUAAAAUCUGGAAUGUGUUGAGACUUGCUAAGAAUCUUUAAAGCUGAGUUUUAUCAGUUAAAUCAUCUGAAAACUUAGAGCAGAAUUCUAUUGCUUUACGAAUGGGUUUAUAAGUUCCUUGAUAUAAGUCAUGACCGAGAAAUAUAAUAGAGAUUUUCAAUAAUUUAAUAUUUUUAGCACUAACUACUAAUCCAUUUUGUUUGAAUUUUUUUUAAAAAGGUUUGGAGAUAUUUAAAGUGUUGGUCAAUGUCUUCUGAAUAUAUUAAACAUCAUCUAUGUAGAGAUAUAUGACUAUAUUGGUUGAAUAUAUUAUUCAUAAUAUUUUGAAAUUCAAAUGGAGAAUUUUUUAGUCCUAAAGACAUUACAUUCCAUUCAUAUUGUCCAAAAGGAACAUUGAAAGUUGUUUUACAUUUAUCUUUUUUUGCGAUUUUUAUUUUCCAAAAUUCUGAUUUAAUAUCAAACUUGGUAGAAAUAUUAGCUUUAUAAGUUCUUUUAAGAAGGUCACGUUUGUUAGGUAUUGAGUACCUAAUCCAUUUUAAUACUUUAUUAAGAGGCUUACAAUUGAUACCUAGACCUGGGGCACCUCUUUCCUUUUCAACACUAUUAUUGACAUAAAAGGCUAAACAACUCCAAGGCAAAAUAGAAGGUUUAAUAAUUUUUUUUAUCUAAUAAAUCAUUAAUUUCCUUUUUACAAUUUUCAAUUAAUUCAUGGUUCAUUUGAAUAGAUCUUGCUUUGGUUGGAAUAAACCUUUCAUCAAAUCCCUCAAUAUAGGGUAAUUCAACAAUAAGCCUUUUUCUUUCCCAAAAUUCAUUAGGAAAAUCAGAGCAAACAUCCCGCUCUAUGACUUCUUGAAGACUUGUAAUUUUUGCUUUAUCUUUCUGGGUUUUUAAAGAUGAUUCAAUUUUUUAAUUUUUAUAUUGCCUUUUAAAUAAAUUAUUUGUUGGAAAAUUAGAUUGACUUUAGAGAUAGUUCUAUUUUUUUAUAAAGUUACUUUCUUCUUUUGAUAAACUAUUUAGAUAAGGAAAAAUAAUCUUUUUUACAAAGAUAGUAGUAUGGAUGUCAUCUAACUCGGCAGUAUAGGGUUUUAUUUGAGAUAAAAAUGAAAGACCUAAAAUUAUCUCUUCAUUUAUAUCUUUGGUUAUUACAUAGUCAUUUAUGAAAUAAAUUCCAUCAUUGCAGAUGUGUACACUGUGUAGUUUACAAUUUGCUUUAAAUUUUUCUCUUGUUCCAGAGAAUAAUUUUGUAGUACUUUUUUCAUGGUACUUAGUGGGGACCGUUCCUUCAAUGUUACAAUUUCGAUUGGCUCUUGUAUCUAAUAAUGCCACUUUGUAAAUUGUGUAAUUUUUAUUUAUAACUAAUGUAAAGGGUAUAUGAUAACUUUUGGCUUAUUUCUUUUAUAAUUUUAUCAAUUUUUUAUUUGUUUUUAGAGACUUAAUAUCUUUAACAUUCCUUUCUAUUUUUAAUGUUUCUCAACGCUCUAAUUGAUAUGUUUUUGGUUCCUGAUUGGAUGUUAAAUUGUCAGCAAAUGAUAUAUUACUAUGUCCUUGCUUAACAUUUUUAGCUUCCCUUUUUAAGUAUUUUAAUUCUGUUUGAAGGUCUUGUAUUGUUGUUUCUGAUUUUAGCAGAAUAUCUCUACAGUGCCGGAGAAUGUUAAAUUAUAUAAAAUUUUUAUUGCAAAAAGAAUGGAGUAUGAAUAUGAGUAAGAGUGGGUAGAGCGUUACGCUAUCCUGGGGCUACCAAAAUUAGUGUUACUCUUGGAAUAAUCGUUUCUCUUGUUAGUACUUAUUAUUAUUCUUCCUCUAUGUUAUUAGUUUUAUUCCUUAUGAUGGGUAGACAUUUAAUAGCGGUUUAGAUGUUGUCAAACCUAAAAUUUUUUGUUAGAUUAUCUCUAAGUAUGUGGUGAAAAAUAGAGCCCGGCCUGAUGGGUGUUCCUGUUGCCAAGCCUAAAAGAAUAAUAGGAGAAGAAAGAUUAGUAAUUACUAUAAAGAAAUUAUUAUGAUAGAGUAACAUCUAAAGUAGAUUUUGGUCCUAAGAUAGUGUUUAUCUCUUAUCUGCAACAAUCCUAAUCAAUACUCCAACCAACCAAAUUGUAAUAAAUUGUGUUAAUAUUUCUUCUACGUCUACUAAAAUAGCUAAAUAGAAAGUGAUUUACAGAAUUGGAAUAUUCAAAAAUAAAGUUUUUAUAAAGUUUAUAAAACUGGACACUUUGAUUUUGUAAAAUAUUAUAAUAUUAAAAAUUCUGAUUCACUAUAGCAAUUAAUAGAAAUGUUGAGACUAAUAAAUUAUUAACAGUUAAAGAUAUUAACAGGAAUAGAAAAAAUUACAAGUUCCUCCACAUAGGUCUUAUUCAAGUGGCAAAUUAAAUCAUUAUAUAUAUUAGGUCUAGAUGUUCCUAUAUGUCUACUCUUCAGAGAUAAUAGGUUAUUAAACUUUGACGACUUAUUAUUAGCAGUAUCACAAAGUAACCUCGCUAAUGGCCCAAUAUAAUUUAAUUAUUAUCCUAAAUUCUCUAUAGAUAUUAAUGAUCAAAAUGUUAUGGAUACCUUAACUUUAAAUGUUAAAACAAAAAACAUGAAUUGUAAGGUAAAUACUAUAGAAAUAGCAAUAAUAUAUAGAGUAUAUAAUAUAUUAAUGAAAACAACCCUAGCCCCUAAGUCUAAAAUAGUUAGUAAUAAAGGAUCUACCAUGCUUAUGGAAGCUAAUCACAAUCAUAAUAAUAACCUUUAUCCCAAAAAUGUUAAAAUAGGAUGAUGUACUGAUAAAAGAUGUAACACCCCAUAUUUUUAUGCUAGAAUUCUAACCUUCAUUCCUACAUGUGUAAGCUCUAAUACAAAUGAUUACCAUGUUGAUAUAAGGUUCAUGACCAUUAUCCUAGUGUGUGAAGUGCUCUCGAGGUGAAAAAUGUUCAUAGGAAGCACUUUGAGUGAAGUUGAGCUAAGAGCCUUUGAUUUGGUUAAAUCUUUGCAUUCGAUUCUACUAGGGUUGAUUUUAAAUGUUUAUAAAUUUUUAUAUAUGUAGAAUUUUUUAUCUCAAGACCCACAAAAUUAUAUAAAAUUGAGUUAGGUUUCCAACGAUACUAAUUUCGCCUUAAUCCGAUACCCGAGUAAAAAGUUAUGGCAAUUUUCGUGAGAGGCAGUAAGCCGACGUGAUAGCGAUGCGAUGCGCUGCUGUCCCCAACGCAAUAGCCAAUGCGAUACAGAGCUAUUUCAGACGUUUCUUCAGUUCCUAAAGGGUAUAGGGUCACUUUGGUCUAUUCCCCUCACCCAAAAUCAUCCAUAACAAAUCAUUUCAGCCCCCAAAAGCAUUAGAAACAUUGUUAUUCAUCCUUUCUCUCCAAGAAAACCCUAGCCCCCCUUAAGAACACCAAGAACUUUAUAAAAUUUUAUUAAAGAACCCAAGCUUACUAGUUCAAGAAAUUCAAGAAGAAUAUUCAAGAACACCAUUAGAGAUUCAAAGUUCAAGCUCUUACUUAAGAGAAGGUUAUACUCCAUGGCAGAAGUAUAAUACCUCUCCCCAACGUGAGGUUUUCCCUUAGGGGAACAAGAUGUUGGACUCCAUAACGGCUCACAUUGUUUAUGUAGGUUAGAAGAACCUUCCAAUGUCCCUAAAUCCUAAAAUAAAAUGUCAGAACAGUUUUGAGAAAACUAUGUGUAAGGGCCCACAAAUUUACUCAGAUAUUGUCUUACCUAAGACUUCAGUUAUCAGAUUUUAGCUUUAAGUUUUAAGAUUGAUAAAGGUGAGUCCUUUUCACUUAGUCUGCAUGAUUUAAAGAACAGAAUCAUAGUACAGAUUUAUUAGAACUAACUGUGAUGACUCACAAGAAUUUCUUUUAUGCUUUAUCACUCAUGAUCUCUGAUUUGUCAGUUUUGAUCAUUCAAGACAAGGUGAGUCACUCACAUUUAGCAUAUAGUUUUGAAAGUUUAUUUGAAUUAUUGCAUUAUUGUUAUUACUUAUGAAUUCACCCCCACAUGCUUAGUACAUUCCAAAAGUACUAAUCCACAUAUAUGUAUAUGUGCUACAUUGUCUCAUAAUAUAGGUACGAGUUAUAGUGCGCACAUCAUAUUUAGAGAGUUUGCAGCUACCAGUCAGCAUGUGAAGAGUUCUUUAUAUUUAAGGGCUCGAGUCAGUCAUAGUUUUAGUAGUAUUUAAUUUUUCUACAUUCAGUCAUAUUGAUUUGAGAUAGCUAAGGGUCAUGUCUCGGAUACAUACAGUCAAUACUAGCAGAGAUUUCAUAGACAGUCAGUAGACUUAGUAUAUUUGAUUCCAAUUUUGUUUUGUAUAAUAAGGGUUGUAAUCAUUUUACUAUAUUUUUGUAUUGAUCAUAUUCAGAAAAGAUUUAUCUUUAGCUUAUUUCGUUUAGAUUUAUGUAUUUUAUUUAGUUGCUCACGAGUUAUGUUAGUACAAGGGUUAGCUUGAGAUCACUUGUAGUCCUAAGCACCAAGUGACAUCCAAGGGGUUGUCUCGGGGCAUUACAAAAGAUAAUAUUUUGACUCCAUAACAGAGCCAGAAAUUGAAGAAGAAAAUUCAAACAUUGUUAUACAAUAUUCAGAUGUAUCUGUAGACUUAGAAUUUCUAAGAUUCCAGUCUUUUAAUCAAUCAUCUUCAAGUAAAAGAAUGUCCUUUUCUAAACCAUCAGUCUUCAAAUCUGUAGAAGAAAGGGAAGUAACAUUAGAAGAUAUUUAAAUAAAAUUAAAAGGAGUAGAUUUCUCAAAAACAAUUCCCAAAGUAGAAUAUGAAGCUAGAAAUUUAAAGACUAAAGAAUCAGUAAGUCCCACUGCUAGUGAAAUGCUAGGAGUAAAAAAUUCUCUACGAAUGAUUAGGUCAGAUGAAAUAUUUGAACCCGACUUUGAAUGUUUAGAUAAAUUAUUGAAUAACCAAGAAAAUUUUAUCAAAAGGAAUGAUAUAAACAAAGAUAUUCAUUAAAAGAAAGAUAUUCUUUUAGUGAAAAAUGGCGCAAUGAUUUGAAAAGAUUAAGAUGUAGUAUUGAAUUCUUUAAGUGGUUUUAAAAUGCAGGAAAAUUAGAUGAUCAAACUGAAUCUUUAAAUAUGAUUGUUAAUAAAUGGUAUACUAGUGAUAAAGUUAUAGAAUCAGUAAUUCCCCCGUUAGAAGAAAUUAGUCUACUAGUAGAUGGUAGAGUUGUUACUGCCUCAACCUUUAAAUUAGAUAUAGUAGAUACUAAAGAUGAUCCUAAAAAUAAGGAUAUAAAAAGAAUACUUUAACAAAAUAAUUACACAAACCAACCACUACAUAUAGUUUCUAAACAGAUUUUCGAAGCCGAGAAUAAAUCAACUUUUUAAGACAAACCAACUUCUUCCCAUCAUGAUAAAAACUUGAAAACUCACCCAAUAUAUAAAUUUCCCAAAAUCUCAAAAAAUAACAACAACAACAACAACAAACCCAGUGUAUUCCCACUUAGUGGGGUCUGGGGGGGGUAAGAUGUACGCAGUCCAUACCUCUACCUCUGAUGAAGUAGAAAGGCUGUUUCCGAAAGACCCCCGGCUCAAGUCACGAGAUAUCACACAAACACAUAGUACAGCACAGAAGCAGAUGACAUAACAUAGAUACGGCACCCAUAAGGAAUAUAAAAGACCCCCGGCUCAAGUUACGAGAUAUCAAACAAACACAUAGUACAGCACAGAAGCAGAUGACAUAACAUAGAUACUGCAGCCAUAAGGAAUAUAAAACAGAGUAAAGCAGGGAUGCAGGAAUAUAAAGCAGAGGAAAGCACACAGAUUCGUAACAAACAUAGAACACGGAACACGGAACAGAACAUUGAAUACGGAAUCAUACCAGGAAUACACCCCCACCAAUUACCUCCCUACAUUAGCGACCCGAACAGGCCCUAAUCCUCUGCCGUAAUUCGCGUCUUCCAGACCUUCCUAUCUAGGGUCAUGUCCUCGGUAAGCUGUAACUGUUCCAUGUCCCGCCUAAUCACCUCACCCCAGUACUUCUUCGGUCUACCCCUACCCCGUCUAAAACCAUCCAACGCUAGCCUCUCACACCUACGGACCGGGGCAUCCAUGCCCCUCCUCUUCACGUGUCCGAACCAUCUCAAUCGUGCUUCCCGCAUCUUACACUCCACUGAAGUCACCCCAACCUUCUCCCGGAUAGUCUCAUUCCGAGCUCUAUCCCUUCGGGUCAGUCCACACAUCCAGCGCAACAUCCGCAUUUCUGCCACCUUCAUUCUUUGGGUGUGGGAGUUCUUAACUGGCCAACACUCCGCUCCAUACAGCAAGGCCGGACGGACUACCACCCUAUAGAAUUUACCUUUAAGCUUGGGCGGCACCUUCUUAUCACACAGCACCCCCGAUGCAAGUUUCCACUUCAUCCAUCCCGCCCCGAUACGGUGCGAGACAUCCUCGUCAAUCUCACCGUUACUCUGGAUCACGGACCCGAGGUACUUGAACUUAUCCCUUUUCUUUACCUCCUGCGCUUCUAGCCUCACCACUACCUCAUUCUCUCGCCUUACGUCAUUAAACUUACAUUCCACAUACUCUGUCUUGGUUCUGCUCACCCUGAACCCUUUAGACUCCAGAGUUUGCCUCCACAGCUCUAAUUUGUCGUUCACACCCCCUCGCGUCUCAUCUAUCAGGACUACAUCGUCUGCAAAAAGCAUACACCACGGCACCUCCCCUUGGAUACGCCGCGUUAACACAUCCAUUACUAGCGCAAACAAAAAGGGACUAAGAGUAGAUCCCUGAUGCAAUCCUGUCAGGACAGUGAAAUGCUCUGAGUCUCCUCCCGCCGUCCUCACCUGGGUUUUCGCUCCCUCAUACAUAUCCUUAAUUACUCUGCUAUAUGCCUGCGGUACUCCACUCACCUCCAAGCAUCUCCAAAGCACCUCCCUGGGGACUUUGUCGUACGCCUUUUCUAGGUCGAUGAACACCAUGUGCAAAUCCUUCUUCCUUUCCCUAUAUUGCUCCACCAACCGCCGUACCAGGUGAAUUGCCUCCGUCGUCGAGCGGCCGGGCAUAAAUCCGAACUGGUUUUCCGAGAUAGACACUAUCCGUCUCAGCCUCACCUCGACCACUCUCUCCCAGAUCUUCAUAGAGUGACUCAGUAACUUAAUCCCCCUAUAGUUAUUGCAACACUGAAUGUCCCCCUUAUUCUUAUAGAGGGGGAUCAUGGUACUCCACCUCCACGCCUCGGGCAUCUUUGCUGUCCUGAAAAUUUCAUUGAACAAUGCAGUCAACCACCUUACACCAGCCUCUCCAACGAACUUCCAAAACUCCACCGGUAUCUCAUCCGGCCCCGUCGCCCUACCCCUUCGCAUCCUGCGGACUGCCUGUCUAACCUCGUCUACCUUAAAACGUCUACAAUAGCUAAAAUCCCGACACUCCCCUGAGUGCUCCAGUUCCCCUAACACAAUAGCUCUGUCCCCCUCGUCAUUCAAGAGCCUAUGAAAGUACGACUGCCAUCUCUUCUUUAUGUGGCCGUCCUCCACCAACACUCUACCGUCCUCCCCCUUAAUGCACCGCACCUGAUCGAGGUCACGACCCUUCCUCUCCCUAGCCUUAGCGAGUCGGAACAACUUUUUCUCCCCUCCUUUCCCCUGUAACCCUGCAUACAAGCUCUCAAAAGCAGCCGUCUUAGCUGCCGUGACCGCUGACUUCGCCUCCUUCCUUGCUAGCUUGUACUCUUUCCUGUUUACCCGCUUCUCCUCUUCGUCCUUACUUUCCACCAACUUAGCAUACGACUCUUUCUUGGUCUCCACUUUCUUCCCCACCUCUUCAUUCCACCACCAAUCCCCCCGAUGAUGUCCGGCCCGGCCCCUAGAAACACCCAACACCUCCCUUGCAUUUUCCCUGAUGCACGCUGCCGCCCUGUCCCACAUAUUAUCCACGUCCCCCCUACACUCCCACACCCCCAUUCCCGCCAACCUCUCCCCUAUCUCCCACGCAUUCACUGGCGUCAAACCGCCCCACUUAAUUCUCGGUCUACACUCCUUACUCCUCCUCUUUUUAUUCUUCUUCAUACCCAAAUCCAUAACCAAGAGCCUAUGUUGGGUCGAAAGGUUCUCACUCGGGAUGACUUUACAAUCUUUACACAGCGCCCUAUCCCCUUUCCUAAGCAACAAGAAGUCAAUCUGGGUCCUGGCUACCGCGCUCCGAAAAGUGAUCAGGUGGUCGUCCUUCUUCGGGAAGCCCGAGUUCACCACCACCAGCCCAAACGCCCUCGCAAACUCCAAUAGGGUCGCCCCCUCUUCAUUUCUCUCCCCAAAACCAAAACCUCCAUGCACAUCCCCAAAGCCUCCCGGUAGCGCCCCGAUGUGCCCGUUGAAAUCCCCUGCUACCACAAUCUUCUCCGAACUGGGCACGCCUCUCACCACGUCCUCCAAGGCCUCCCAGAACCGCAUCUUCUCCUCCCCCUCCGAUCCCACAUGCGGCGCAUAGGCACUACACACGUUCAGGGUAAACCCCCGAAUGACCAACUUGAUAGUCAUCAACCUAUCGUUGAUCCUCUUCACCUCCACUACCUGACCUCUAAGCUCUUCAUCUACCAAGAUGCCAACUCCAUUCCUACGCCUGUCGCUCCCAGAGUACCACAGCUUGUAACCGUCCACAUCCCUAGCCUUAGACCCUACCCACUUGGUCUCUUGGACACACGCAAGGUUGAUCCUUCUCUUCCUAAGAAUCUUCACCAGCUCUAUGGACUUCCCCUGAAGGGUCCCUAUAUUCCAAGACCCAACCCUCAGCCUACCGUCGCUAUCCACGCGCCCCCCACUACCCCUCCCUCGGCCAAACCUUGGCCUCCCACCCACUCCCGCUCUCUCCCCAUCUCCCGCCCCCGCCACAGCCCCACGCCCCAACCCCCUCGGACAUGACCCUAACCACCCAUUACCACCCACAGCCACAACUACACGAAAAAAUAGGAAAAUAUAAGGAUAUACCCGGUGUCAAUAUCAAAGCAGCAGCUAGGAGAUAUAAGGCACACACACGUUCAAAGGACUACUCCCGAAGCAAAACUAAGAAGCGACCACAGCAACAGCAACAACAGACAACAAACAAUGUUCACAAAUCCCACGCAAGUCAAUAGUAAAGCAGCAGCAAGUAAUACAAGGCUCGCACAAAUUCAAGGAAAUAUUCCAGCAACCAAACUAUACUCAAUUACUAGUAUAAUAUGAAGAAUGAAAGAAUGCAGAAUGAAGAAUGAAAUAAGCAAAGGUUAGAAGUCACCGGAUUUCACUUGUAGACCAAGCCGGCAACCAAGCCCCGCUUCGACCUACUGCCGGAGGAUCGCUACAGAGAUGUAUCCGCGGCUGCUGACGAUGGAGCGGCGGUGCAGCUGAAGACCGAGCUUCGGCUGA